GGGAAGAGGGUAGCGGACGCUCAUAGAUUAAGGAUUGGGUCAUGGAACGUAGGCACUCUGAUGGGUAAGUCCAUUGAGUUAGUGAAGGUUCUUCAGAAGAAGAGGGUUAACAUAGCAUGUGUCCAGGAGACUAGGUGGAAAGGGUCGAAAACCAGGAAUGCAGACGGGUUUAAGGUGUGGUAUUCUGGGGUCGUGAGAGGUAAGAAUGGAGUGGGCAUCUUGGUAGAUAGGGAUCUAAGGGAGUCUGUGGUCAAGGUUAGGCGAGUGAAUGAUACAUUAAUGUCUAUUAAGUUGGUUAUUGGGGGUUGCGUCCUCAACGUCAUCAGCGCUUAAACGCCGCAAGCAGGCUUAGACGAGGAGGUUAAGAGGCGUUUUUGGGAGGGCUUGGAUGAUCUAGUGAGUAGUAUUCCCCAAUCUGAGAAGUUAGUUAUUGGANNNNNNNNNNNNNNNNNNNNNNNNNNNNNNNNNNNNNNNNNNNNNNNNNNNNNNNNNNNNNNNNNNNNNNNNNNNNNNNNNNNNNNNNNNNNNNNNNNNNNNNNNNNNNNNNNNNNNNNNNNNNNNNNNNNNNNNNNNNNNNNNNNNNNNNNNNNNNNNNNNNNNNNNNNNNNNNNNNNNNNNNNNNNNNNNNNNNNNNNNNNNNNNNNNNNNNNNNNNNNNNNNNNNNNNNNNNNNNNNNNNNNNNNNNNNNNNNNNNNNNNNNNNNNNNNNNNNNNNNNNNNNNNNNNNNNNNNNNNNNNNNNNNNNNNNNNNNNNNNNNNNNNNNNNNNNNNNNNNNNNNNNNNNNNNNNNNNNNNNNNNNNNNNNNNNNNNNNNNNNNNNNNNNNNNNNNNNNNNNNNNNNNNNNNNNNNNNNNNNNNNNNNNNNNNNNNNNNNNNNNNNNNNNNNNNNNNNNNNNNNNNNNNNNNNNNNNNNNNNNNNNNNNNNNNNNNNNNNNNNNNNNNNNNNNNNNNNNNNNNNNNNNNNNNNNNNNNNNNNNNNNNNNNNNNNNNNNNNNNNNNNNNNNNNNNNNNNNNNNNNNNNNNNNNNNNNNNNNNNNNNNNNNNNNNNNNNNNNNNNNNNNNNNNNNNNNNNNNNNNNNNNNNNNNNNNNNNNNNNNNNNNNNNNNNNNNNNNNNNNNNNNNNNNNNNNNNNNNNNNNNNNNNNNNNNNNNNNNNNNNNNNNNNNNNNNNNNNNNNNNNNNNNNNNNNNNNNNNNNNNNNNNNNNNNNNNNNNNNNNNNNNNNNNNNNNNNNNNNNNNNNNNNNNNNNNNNNNNNNNNNNNNNNNNNNNAUGUAAUCGAAGGAAAAGUGGAGGUGAAGAAGGCGACGUUUGCUAAGUUGGCAGGGAGCACAAGCGAGUAAGAAAGGAGAGCGAACAUGGAGAUCUACAAGGUGGCGAUAAAAGAAGCAAAGCUGGCGGUUACGGAAGCUAAAAAUGCAGCGUUUGGUUGCAUGUAUGAGGAAUUAGGGGAGAAAGGCAGGGACAAGAAGUUAUUCCGGUUAGCUAAAGCAAGGGAAAGGAAGGCGCGUGAUCUUGACCAAGNNNNNNNNNNNNNNNNNNNNNNNNNNNNNNNNNNNNNNNNNNNNNNNNNNNNNNNNNNNNNNNNNNNNNNNNNNNNNNNNNNNNNNNNNNNNNNNNNNNNNNNNNNNNNNNNNNNNNNNNNNNNNNNNNNNNNNNNNNNNNNNNNNNNNNNNNNNNNNNNNNNNNNNNNNNNNNNNNNNNNNNNNNNNNNNNNNNNNNNNNNNNNNNNNNNNNNNNNNNNNNNNNNNNNNNNNNNNNNNNNNNNNNNNNNNNNNNNNNNNNNNNNNNNNNNNNNNNNNNNNNNNAACAUAGAGACCUUGGGUACUGCAGGCGCAUUAGGGCGGAGGAGGUCAUGGGGGCUUUGCGUAGGAUAAGUAGGGGUCGAGCGACCGGGCCUCACGAGAUCCCGAUGGAGUUCUGGAAAUGCAUAGGUAGGUCAGGAGUGGAGUGGCUCUCCAGGUUGUUCAAUGUGAUCUUCAAGACCAUGGAUGCUGGAGGAGUGGAGGUGGAGUACAAUGGUGCCCUUGUACAAGAACAAAGGGGUCAUCCAGUGCUGCAACAACUAUAGGGGUAUCAAAUUAAUAAGUCACGCCAUGAAGAUCUGGGAGCGGGUGAAGGAGUGGAGGUGGAGUACAAUGGUGCCCUUGUACAAGAACAAAGGGGUCAUCCAGUGCUGCAACAACUAUAGGGGUAUCAAAUUAAUAAGUCACACCAUGAAGAUCUGGUAGCGGGUGAUCGAGGUGAGGGUGAGAGAGAUGACUUCUAUAUCUGUGAACCAAUUCGAUUUCAUGCCUGGUCGCUCCAUUACAGAAGCUAUUCCCCUUGUCAGGAGGCUGGUCGAGCAGUUCAGGGAUAAGAAGAAGGACAUGCACAUGGUGCUUAUCGACUUGGAGAAGGNNNNNNNNNNNNNNNNNNNNNNNNNNNNNNNNNNNNNNNNNNNNNNNNNNNNNNNNNNNNNNNNNNNNNNNNNNNNNNNNNNNNNNNNNNNNNNNNNNNNNNNNNNNNNNNNNNNNNNNNNNNNNNNNNNNNNNNNNNNNNNNNNNNNNNNNNNNNNNNNNNNNNNNNNNNNNNNNNNNNNNNNNNNNNNNNNNNNNNNNNNNNNNNNNNNNNNNNNNNNNNNNNNNNNNNNNNNNNNNNNNNNNNNNNNNNNNNNNNNNNNNNNNNNNNNNNNNNNNNNNNNNNNNNNNNNNNNNNNNNNNNNNNNNNNNNNNNNNNNNNNNNNNNNNNNNNNNNNNNNNNNNNNNNNNNNNNNNNNNNNNNNNNNNNNNNNNNNNNNNNNNNNNNNNNNNNNNNNNNNNNNNNNNNNNNNNNNNNNNNNNNNNNNNNNNNNNNNNNNNNNNNNNNNNNNNNNNGGUCAUCGCCAAGAGGGACAAUGUCAGAUAUCUUGGGUUGGUGAUUCAGGGGGACGGAGAGAUUGACGGGGACGUCACUCAUCGCAUAGGAGUGGGGUUGUCGAAGUGUAGGCUUGCAUCAGGAGUCUUGUGUGACAAGAAAGUCUCACAGAAGCUCAAAGGGAAAUUUUAUAGAGCUGUGGUCAGACCUGUCAUGUUGUAUGGGGCGGAGUGCUGGCCAGUGAAGAUUUCUCAUGUUCAAAGAAGGUUGCGGAGAUGAGGAUGCUCAGGUGGAUGUGCGGGCUCACCAGGUUAGAUAAGAUNNNNNNNNNNNNNNNNNNNNNNNNNNNNNNNNNNNNNNNNNNNNNNNNNNNNNNNNNNNNNNNNNNNNNNNNNNNNNNNNNNNNNNNNNNNNNNNNNNNNNNNNNNNNNNNNNNNNNNGGUGGAUGAGAAGAUGCGAGAAGCGAGACUGAGGUGGUUCGGGCAUGUGCGGAGGAAAAGUCCUGAUGCCCCGGUGAGGAGUUGUAAGCGGCUGGCGAUGAUCGGUGUCCGGCGAGGCUGAGGGAGGCCUAAGAGGUACUGGGGAGAGGUGAUUAGACAUGACAUGACUAGAAUGCAGGUUUCCGAGGACAUGGCCCUUGAUAGGAAAGUCUGGAGGUCUAGUACCAGUGUCGUCGGAUAGGGGCUCCUAGUGCUUUUCGUACUCCUCACCGAGGGUUGGGUGAUUCGUGGCAUUGCUAUCCAUAGAUGAUUUUUGUCUUGGACUGUGUCUCUCUUAUGGUAGUUAUUUAUGGUAGUUACGGUCAGAUACUAUUGCAUGCUAUUUUAUUUAUGGUUCUUAUAUUUAAAUAAAUAUUUCCACUAUUUCUGCUGGAGUUACUAAUGCUCUUUUGUUUUUGUCUUUGUUUUUUCUUUCCUUCACUGAGCCGAGGGUCGAUUGGAAACAGCCUCUCUGCCUUUCGGGUAGGGGUAAGGCCCGUCUACAUAUUACCCUCCCCAAACUCCAUUUUGUGGGACUAUACUGGGUGGUUGUUGUUGUUGUUUGAUUUCACUGAGGAAAUGCCUCUGAUACAUUUUUUAGGAACAUGAGGUUUAUGUGCACCUCUCUAGUCGUGUAAAGAUUUGCAGGCAAUCACAAUGUCGAGGCCCAAUUAACAUGUAGUCAAUACACGUUCAAGAAAGGAGUAUCGAUUUAAAAUGGACACUAAAAGCAGAUUCUACCAUCUUCGAUUUCGUCAGUAUCUUUCUCUUCUUUUUUUUGGCCUUAGAAGAAAAGACAACCACUUGACAUUUCGAAGAUACGAGCUUCAUGAAUGACAGGUUAGCAUCAAGCUAAGCCAGAAAGAAAGAAACAAUUAACAACAGAAAUUUAACACAAGCAUAUAAUAGUUGCCAGAUGCCAAGAAAAAGAUCCAUACAUUAGAGAAGAAAAAAAUGGUGAGGAACCAUUUUUGCUGGCCAUACUUAACAUACAUUGUUCUCAAGUGUUCAAUAAAAGACACUCAUUUCUGUCCCUUCUUCCUCCAGAGGUCACCAAACUUCUUAAUACCAGAACCUUUUCUCUUCCCAUGUCCAAAAACAUCAUCAGAAUCAUCACCCAACCCUGGCGAACCCAUGUAACUGCCGUAUCCUCCAACUGCUGGUUCAAAUACAUUACCAUAAUGCUUAUCCAUUGAUCCACACCUUUCAGAUAGUCUUCUCCCAUUCAUCUCCACACCUCCCGCUAAUACUGCUGCUGCAGCAUCUGCAGCUUUCCUCCAUUGUUCUGUUUGGACUCUCAGUUUCUUCAUCUCAUUUUCUAAUGCGUCUUUUGCCUUUUCAGUGGCCUCAAGUUUCUCCUGUAUAUUAACUGCAUUAUUCUUGCUUGUUUCCAGCUCUUGUGUUACUUGGUUUAGAUUGAGGCUCGUUUCCUCUUCUUUGGCCUUAACGGACGAUAUCUCUAGCAUUUUUUCAUUCAGCUCCUUCUUCAGGCUCUCAUUUUCUUGGCUAAAAACCUGAAGCUCUUUUUCUUUCUCCUCCAACUUGGAUUUCAAUGAGCUUAUUUCCUCAUCCUUUAAAUUCAGCUCCUCAACUGAUGAUUUCUCCUGUUCAGCUACCGGUUUAGCAAUGGCUGGGGUUUCAGCAGGUGAUAAAUUUGCACUUUUCAGGUCCUCUUCGACAGACGGGUGGCUUAUUUCAACAUUUGGAGGAGGCUCCACUGUUACCUUCUCAACUGGAACUUCGAAAACUUCUUUCUGGUCAUCAUCUGGAAUUUCAUGAGUUGGAUUGUUGUUGUUGUUGUUGUUGUUGCUGGUUUCUUGGAUUUGCUCAGGCUCAGCAACAGUUGGUUUCUUGGUUUUCUUCUCAAGCUGUUCUUGAGCUGCUUUCUUUGCAGCCUCAGCUGAAGCUAACUGCCCCUUCAGAGAUUUGAGCUCAUCUUGUGCUUGCCCAAGUUGAGAUUCCAAAUCUGCAAUUCUUGUUCCAAGUUUCCUUUGAUUCAGUGGAUCAGAUUGAGCGCCUCGUGGCGAACGGCGAUCACCCAAUUUAGGACUCCGGUCAGUCACUGAUCGAUGGUGUAGAGGAUCAGAAUCAGAGCUUGAUGUUCGGAGUUGCAAAUGGACUCGAGGAGAUUGCCUCUGAGGCAUUUCUGAUCCCCUAUUCCCUCAAAAUUAAAAACAAAACGGAAAAAGUGCAGUUAGAAAUUAGACAAAAUUGUACUCAAGCACAGCCCCUCUAUGAAAGAGAGGAGGACGGAUUAUUCACAAUUCAUUUGAUAGUCAUAUGCGAAUUGAAAUAUGAAUUCAUUACAGUAGAAAAUAUAAGUCCUACUGAUUUGAUAGGGAGUUCAAGCCAUUCCAUGUCACUCACCUUGAUCGCGGCAUUUCAAUGAUGCAAUCUUCUACCACUUUUUAAGUCUUGAUCUGUAGAAGUGGAGGAUCAAUCAGGUUUGAAGUAUACAAAAGGCAUCAAGUUCUCUAUAUUGCAUGGGAAUUGAAAGUUGAAACUAAUUUGAAAUAUACAACCCAAUAAAAGCAGGAAAAUCAGUUACUACUAUUAAUCUCAAUGGAGUAAAAAAUUUAAUCACACCCUUUUUGCAGCAAAGGCAGAAAUGUCCAACAACACCUUUUUAGGAGUAUAACAAGCAUCCCCCCCAAAGCAAUCACAAAAAGUAAUUUAAAAUAAAAAAAGAGAGAAAAAAAAAAUUUGGGUGGGGGNNNNNNNNNNNNNNNNNNNNNNNNNNNNNNNNNNNNNNNNNNNNGGGUAGGGUAUUUUAAUGAUGAAAGGAGAGACAAAAUUGAACAGAGAGUAGUGAAGCAUGCGUUUAGAACAGAGCAAAAGGAAAUUUCCAGACACCUUUAUCCCCAUGCAUAUGUCAAUAUCAAUGUCAUUGGAAGAUGAGCAUAUUUUCUCAAAAAACUAAAAAGAGGUUCCAAAUAUUAGAUUUUUCAGAUUGGAAUUACUCACUUGAAACUGUUAUCAUAAAGCAUGUUUGUCUGGACAGACACAAAUGUUAAGCAAAAUGAAGAUCUACCAAAUAAGUCAUUCAUUAAAAGUUUAUGAAAAGGGAGAAAAAAUUGAUCUUUCCGGCUCUAAAUGCUUUAUUUAAUAAAUAAAGAAAAAGCAAAGGAAAUGGCAUUAUCUCAUAGGAAGAGAAAAUGGAAAAUCAAAAUAAUGUCCAUCAUUUCUUACCAGCAAAACUUCACUUUCUUGAUUAUUCUUUCAGUACUUGAUUACUAAAAGCCUUAAGAAUGAAGAAAGAAGAAACACCCAGAAAGCAAGGAAUCAAGAAAAAGGCUUUAGCUUUUGAGAAUUGAAUGUUAGUUUGUGAAUGAAUGAGUGAGUGAGGAGCUUACCAGCAUUAAAAACACUUUUCUUUUUUGAAUGAGGAGAGCAACAGUAAUAUUUCAGUAGAAUUUUAUAAGCUUAGGACAGAUACUAUAAAGAUUUGAACUUUGAAAUAUUUAAAGUUUGAAUUAAAGGUGGAUAGAGAGAGGAAGAGGACAAGAGGGUAAAUUUGAACGUUAAGAGUAAGGGGACACCAAAAUAAUACAACUUUGUGUUAUUGGGAAAAUCUAUCUGUAACAAUGGCAAAGCUGACCUUUUCUCUUUUUACUUUUCUUCAACUCCUUUUGCUUCUUUUCACACCACUUACCUUUCUUGAUUACUGAAUCUCUGUCUCUGUAUCAGCAUCUUAAAUUAUGGAUAAUAGUGAAGGGCAUUUGACCUUUGAACUUCACCUACCAAUACCAAGAAAGGUAAAUUCCAAAGAAAAUUUUGGGAUAACGAUAAAAUUAUUAUUGUGUGAUUUAUAAUUUAAGGGUUAAAACAUAAUAAUCGGCCCAUUAGCAUAGGCGGCCACAUUACAUUCUUCAUAUGCGAUCUUUUCUUGAAUCCUACGAAAAUAUGAAAAUUUUUAUGUAUCGAACUGCCCUUUAAUAUCAAAGUAUUGGACUUUGAACCAUGUAACAAAGAAACCAUGUGUCCCAUUAGGUGUAACUUGUUAUGACUAGCGCCUUGACCACAGGCAAUUUCCAAGAAACAGUUGAAUACAGUACUGAAUAAGUAUAUACCAUAGGGAAUUUCUAAUGAUCUUACUAAAGUAAUUCCCUAUUUUUCACUUUUAUGUUUCAGAAGAUAACUUUUACUAAUCUUCUUCCUUUAUUAUUCAAUCAUAUAUAUCUAGUCUGUAACUUAGAGCAACAAUUUCUUAAUUAGGCAGUGUUUAGUAUUAGAAAAACAAUCUGUUUCUAUGCGUGGUUCUCAUUGUAGUCUUAUUAAAAGGAAAAUCUUUAAAGUCAAUUAAGCUAAUCAUGCAGGUUUUGUUAGGAUAUUUUAUGUUUGACUCUGGUUGUCCAUCCAUAAUUAGAAUCAAUCGUAGACAUAAUCCAGCCAUUAAGCAAGAAACCAGAUCAUUAACACUUCCCAACAUUUGAUAAAAGAAGAAACUUUUUGUCUUUAGCUUUUGAUUUUAUCCUAUACCUGCAGCAUGUUCUUAUAUACUAGUAGUUCAUUUAUGAGGGUCUCUUAGACAUUCUGGAUUUUCAUGUAUUAUUUAGUAACAGAUUCAAAACCAGGACCUUGAAAAGUCAUUCAAUCAUCAAUUAAUCAAGUGGGUCUCAUCAUCAUUUAAGGUCAAGGAUUGGGACAAUUGAAAAUUUAGAGGUUGAGAUGGAUUGGCCCAUGAUUAUGCAUUCAGAUCAAAAGAAGUAGAUGGGCUUUAAUAUAUGAAAAGAAAUAUUGCAUGCGUGAGGUCUAAAUGCAUCCCAACUACUUCAUGGAGCCAGAUUGUUACCCCAACUUUUUAUGAAAAGAAACAUUGCAUGUGAGGUCUAAAUGCAUCCCAACUACUUCAUGGAGCCAGAUUGUUGCUGCAUCAACCCCCCAUCCCCAAAUACCCACCACCCCAACUUUUUUUCAAAAAAUGAAAAGAAAAUACAUGCACUUAGUGCUUACAACAUAGAUAUGAGGCGGACCCAGGAUUUGAGCACAGCGAGAGCACCACUAUUGAUAUAGAUAUGUCAGCUAGUAACGACAAAAUCUGACGUGUAAACUCCUUAAAAACUUAUUGACUAUGAGUCAGUGCUCGAAAGUAUGUUCAAAAAUUUAGUUUAAUAAGAUCACGAUUGAAAGUCCAUAAAGCAAAAGUCCCGGUCGUUGUCGUUAAAUCGAUAAACAUCUGCUACUUUGGCGAAAUGAUCCUUGAAGACAGAAGCUUUUUUGAAGUUUUUUUAAAUACUGUUUUUGGGAAAAAUGGAAUUACUUAUUUUUAUACAUGUAAAGAAACUAAUAAUGCUAAUAAACUUGGCUAUCAUGAUAAAGAAGAUGAUUGACUUCUUGCUAAUGAAAUAUCUUAUCCCCUUUUAAUUUUCUUUAAUACUUUUUUUAUGUCUAUCUAUUACCUUUUUGAUGUCUAGAAGGAUAUUUCUCAAAAAGCGUUUGAGACUGUUUUGUGUAGAAAUUGACUACAUGUACUAGUACUAAAUAAUUAUUCAUGAAGUUAGAAAACAUAAAGGGAAAAAAAAUAGCAAGGUAGAGCACUAAAUACAGGAGAUACCAAUCUAUUUUGAAUUGAAAGAGGAAAAAAAAUUGAAUGAAAAGAAAGGGUUAGUGAUGGUCUCGAACCGGCUCAAAUGGAGACAAAUGCAACGUAUUAAACCAGCAGAGCCAGUCCAUCUUUUGUGUUUAAGAGGCACAUCAAAAUUUUUUAACGGUCCUUGUUGUACAUACAAAUAUAUAUACAUGGUUUUUGCCGAGGCUAACGGGUUCCGGUGAUCCCUCAAUUGUCCAUGUAGGUCCCCCCCCCCCUUUUGCUUCUUUUCACACCACUUACCUUUCUUGAUUACUGAAUCUCUGUCUCUGUAUCAGCAUCUUAAAUUAUGGAUAAUAGUGAAGGGCAUUUGACCUUUGAACUUCACCUACCAAUACCAAGAAAGGUAAAUUCCAAAGAAAAUUUUGGGAUAACGAUAAAAUUAUUAUUGUGUGAUUUAUAAUUUAAGGGUUAAAACAUAAUAAUCGGCCCAUUAGCAUAGGCGGCCACAUUACAUUCUUCAUAUGCGAUCUUUUCUUGAAUCCUACGAAAAUAUGAAAAUUUUUAUGUAUCGAACUGCCCUUUAAUAUCAAAGUAUUGGACUUUGAACCAUGUAACAAAGAAUGACUCUGCAUGCACAAAAAAAUAAUGAUGAUGAACAAUAAAAAUGGUACUAGCUGAAUAAGACUUUCUGUCUCGACGUACGUUAGGUGAGCUUGCUAACCUGUAUCAUCGUCGAAAAUGGGAGGAAGAGGAAGAGCGAAGAAGAACACCAGCAAAACGCCAGUGGUAGAAAGGAAACUAACGGACAUCAUCAUGCGUGAGCAAAGGGAAAUAAACUGCUAAAGUAAAAGGGAAAAUGCAAUAGGAGACUAGGAUCAAGACAGUAAUAGUGACCCAAAUUGGCCAGAUCUGGGUAGCUCUCGAGCAAUAUUUGUAACGCUGGUGAGUUCAAGCAAUAUUGACACGUGUGGUGAACUCUGUGAAAGGAAUCGCUAUAGUGCCGACUACAAAUGAGCGGCCAAGCUCGAGCAAGGGGCAAACCAAUGGAACAUUACAUAUAAGUCCACUAAACAAACAAAGGGGUGUAGAGAUUGACAACCAGAAAAAAAAUUAGCGGAAAAAAAUAGAACAAACUACGGAAACAAACUAUGGAGACAGGAAGAUCAUGGCAAGGCUAUUCCGGGAAAACAAAUUGGCAGAAAAAAGUAUGAAUCUAACCUACAUACCUUAGAGAUGAAAGAUGGUGAAGCAAUGGUACAAUUGAUGGAAGAGGACACCGAAGAAGAGAACCAAAAGUGGAAACGAGCAAUUAUUCUCUAUGUGGUGGAGAAUACACCAUCUAUUGGUGGUUACUGAGAGAUUCAUAGCUAAUCAGUAGAUUAAUAUUCAUAAACUAAGGUACUCUUCCGUAAUGAUGGGUAUUUCAUAAUUUUGUUGAAUAAUAGUAAAGAGAGGGAGGAUAUUUCAUAAUUCGCCUGAAUAUAUGUUGCAUUGAAUAGUUACUUAUCAAUUUUUGACCCUUGGUUUUUUGCUUUUGCAUAGUAUAGUAUAAUCUCCAAUUAAGUAGUUGGUCAUGGCCAUCUUUCUCAAAAUUCAACCCCAGUUGAUAAUGUAACCUUGAUUUAUGACUUCGGUAGUUAACUAGGGUCCAUUCCUGACUAGAUGGAUAGACACAGGGUAUAAAAAAUAUGGGCUAGUAAUUAAGAUGGGAAAAAAGGGGUAUUGGGGCAUUUGAGCACAUGAAUCUUGUAGCAAACCCCUGGAACAUUCUAGUGAAGGUUCGAAAUGCAAUUUCUGCUAAUUCUCUCUCAAACUUGAGGCUCAAGUUAAAAAAUGAGGGAACAAUUAAGCAAAUCUAAAAAAUGGAUAAGGGACUAAAAAGAAAACAAGGAAGAUUUCGUUGCCCUAAGGCUUUGGCUAUAAAAGAGACAUCUUAUGGCUUAAGAAGGGGAGAUACAUUGAGAUAUAUACAUUUUUCUGAGAAGGAUAUAUAUACAAGGUCGAGAAUAUUCCUCUGAAAACCAAUUCCUGAAAAUCAUAAGUUUUCCUGGCAAAAUCUUCCAUGAUAAUCAAAAUUCUGUUCAUUAUAAGUUGAAGAUGAAUUGAGACAUAUGCAUUUUAAGUUGUUAGAAUUUUGAGAAGCAAUUUUAGGAAUUGCUCUUAGGCGGGUUUACUUUGUUCAAGUCUGGGAUCAAAACCUGUGUUGUUAUUUGCUUCUCAAAAUUUUCUGAGUUCCUGAUACAUUCCAUGUUUAACUGGUUGAUUUGGCUGCUGUUGCUUGCCUGUUUCUCGCUUACCUCACUCAUAGGCUUCCUCUUUGGCUGUAACUCCAGGUACCAACUCUCACCCAGGAAAGUCUGGAAAUGCAUAGUUGUAUAUGCAUAGUCAUGUUCGAUAAUGAAGACAUUUACUUUUAUACUAAUAUUGUAGUGCAAAUAUUAUUAGUCGAGUAUGUUUAAGAUAUUUUUCUUAUCCUGGCGCUGUAAUAUAAGAACAAUCGGACUAUGCUGGACUAUCACUUUUAGCUGUUAAUGUCAAGUUAUUUUACUUUCAGUAGGUAUAAAUAAGGUAGUCAAAUAACAUGCAUGUUUUUCAUGUUUGAUUUGUCAAUAGGGAAUCGUUGUAUGUAUAUGUACUUUGAUUGAUGGGUACAUUAAUUAUAGAUGCUAAAUUCGAAAACCUGAAGUUGUAGCUUAUUAAUUUUCUAUCUUGAAAAUCACUACUGGGAUAUCAUUCUGUCAAAUGUUUUUUUAAAAUUUGUUAAAUAGCCAGUUAUAAAUAACUUCAAUAGCUGUAGUGUAGUGAUGCCUUUCCUGCCUUAUGAAUACUCUAUAACAUCAAAAUUCUGGGCUCAAUCGAGGGCACAAAUCCUUGUAAGUUAUGAAAUAUGGAAAUAUAUUUCUGGGAUGUCUGUCUUCCUUGAUAAAGCCCAAUGGCGGAAAUUAGUUACACAAAAAUGUUGAAUACACGCAUAUUGAUUUUUUAUUAGGAUAAACCGUUAGCACUUGAAUAACUAGGACUUCUUUUUAUUUUUAGAGACGCGCAUAAUAGAAAAUUAUAGUCUCUUUAGGUUGUCAUUCCUUAAAAAUAAAAAGGGUUUGCCACGUUAAACAAAAGUCAUACACUAUGUGGCCCUCUAAUUAUACUAAAAUGCAUAGAAACCUGGAGGUACCGUUUAGCAAAUUUCAUGGCCCUUCCACGAAUUUUAAAACGCGUAGUUGCUGUAGGCACGUUAUUUUAAUAAAGUAUCUUCCUAAAUUCGAGUGCGCAUUUAUGUGACCAAAAUCCAAGUCUCAACUAUGUUAAAAUGUGUCGAGAACCCGGGUGCAUUUAUGUGACGUGGUUAGAGACGUGUUUUAAUAACGUUGCAAAUAUUCCUAAAAUAACAUAAAGCGGUUAAUAAUUUUAAAACUGCACUGUAGGAUGAACAUGUAUAAAAAUCAAAAAAUUAGCCAUUUAUAAUAGUAUAAGCGGCCGUUCUAGAACCACGGGAUCUGAGGGUACCUAACACCUUCCCUCGGGUCAAAAGAAUUCCUUACUCAAGAAUUUCUAGUUUGCAGACUCCAAUUGGGCAGUCGAAAAAAUUUCCUCGAUUCGGGAUUCUAAAUAAACUGGUGACUUGGGACACCAAAAGCCAAACCUAUCCUAAGUGGUGACUUUUAAUAAAUAAAUAAUCUCAUUUCGAAUAAUGUCACUUAAAUUUGAAAAACUCCAUUAUACGUGUCAUCAUCCUUCGGGGUAGCCAUGUAAAAAGGAGGUGUGACAGCUCUGGAGACUCUGCUGGGGAAUCGAACCCAUAAUCUCUGGUUCAGGUUUCAAGAAUUCGAGCUUAGAACAACUAUUAUAUUCGGCUUCUUCUAGUUUCAUUACAUGUUCUGUGCUAAGUGCUAAGUGCUUUUACCGCUUUGAUAUUAUCUUAACUGUACAUAUAAAUUGCUACGAAACCCUUCACUUCUCAUCUCGGGGGAUGUGCUUACUGGUUGAGUCUCCCCAUUAUGUUAGUGUCAUACCUGAAAUUAAGAAAGAGGCCAGACAAGUUACUAAGCUGGAUGGCCUUUUGGUUCACGGUACGUGACCCCCUCCUCGACUCGAGUUGUCCGCUCGGGUGCACAGUCUAGACCCUGUACAAAGGUUUUUAACUUAGAAUAAAUUGACCUCAUGCCGGAUCCAUAGUAGGAACGCUUAUUUGCAUCAUUCAUUUGACUUAGGGGACUCAACACAGGGGUUGGGUCCGUCUAGGACAGGUGACCCGAAAUGAAAAGACCAUCUCGGUGCAUAUUAUGUGCUACUUGCGCAUUUAUUUUCUUGGAUUCGCAUGUUGACCAACUUGCGAAUAAAAGGAAAUUUGAGAGUUUCUGAGAUAAAUCAUUUGCAAAAAAAAAAAAAAAAAGACAACGCUCAAAUAGCGCCGAAAUGCUGCUGGAUUUCUCAAAAAUAAAAACAAAAAUACAAAACAAAGGGAAAGAAAUUUGGGAAAAUUUUUAAUAAUAUUUUGGUUUUGAUAAGUUGUUUUAUCAGGUCCAACCUCUCCUUUUGUAAAAAUAACCAAAACAAGAAAAGCAAAUGUCUGAUUUUACCCACUAGUUUCGAAAUAAAUCGGGUGAUGACAUUACUGCCGGAAAUAGCCGAAUGUCACCGCAAGGGACGCCGGAAGGCUGAUCCUGCACAAAUGACCACCUCUAACUCUUAUUUUUUGACCGGCAAGCGAGCACAGCCUGAAAAACUUUCUUUCAAAAGUAUUGCAAGGUCGUCUUCGCAAAGCCGGUCCCUGAUUUUAAUAAAUGAAUUUCAUAAAAUGCUGGUUUUAGUAUUUUGUUGAUAUUAGUUCACCUUAAUAAAUGUGCAGAAUGAGCACGAUAAUGUUCAUGAACAAAAUUCUCUUGGAUUUGCGACUGUGAUGGAAUGAUCUGGGGGAAGCAUGGCAAACAAGGGUCAAUACGUAUCUGGGAGACCUCACUGGUUUGUUGAAACUUAAUCCAAGGGGAGACAUCAUAAAAGCAUUAAUCACAUUUUGGGACCCGGCUCACAAUCUCUUCCACUUCUCGGACUUUGAACUCACCCCGACAUUGGAGGAAAUAAUUGGAUAUAUUGGGGCCCCCAUAAUUCCUUUGAGACACCAAGAGCCCUUGCCGUGCAAAAAUUCUCGGGCUCCUUGAAAAUCAGUCGGAAGGUUCACAAUCCGGACUUAUCAGCUGGCUUUUGCACCCCGCAAUUUAUAUAUUUGAAUUACGGACAUAUUGGGGGAUUCAAUAACCCUGAAAAUCAUAUUUGUAGCAAAGGAAAUCAGGUCAAAUGGGAGGAGCAUCGAUGUUUUGCGUUCAUGGUAUUUUUCUUAAGAGGUACAGACAUAUCGGGGGAUUCAAUAACCCCGAAAAUCUUAUUUGUAGCAAAUGAAUUCAGCUCAAAUGGGAGGAGCACCGAUGUUUUGAAUUCAUUGUAUUUUUCUUGGGUCUUCUGGUAUUUGCGCGAAAGGAUGAGAAUAUUGACAUAUGAAUAAUAGGGGUUGUUAGCACUUUAAUGACCCAGGCUAAAAGUACCCUCGCCCCCAUGAUCUUAUCUGAAAUCUUCUGCGCUUUCAUCGCCUGUAAGGUAGGAGGAGACUUCUUCGAAUGAUGUAACUUGCUGCUGUAAAUAUGGAUGAUCGAGCAUAUAGCCACCGGCCUCGGUUCAUGAAUUAUGGGUCGCCAACAAAGAGCUGUGUAGAAGAAUUCUGCAAUGGGGUUGACAGGUUUAGAGUACCUGAGGGUGUCACAGAAUAAGUGUCGCAUCUCAGGGCCAACACUGCAAAUCAGAUAGAGUGGACAUUCAGGUGGCUCCCCGUGGAUGAAGUUAUAUAUAUGCCAACCACCGGGCCUCAUUUCCUUCUAAUGGGUCUACGAAGUAUCUAGCCCUAUGCGCCAUACAGAGUACUAAGGCAAUUAGGUAGAUGCCAAAUGAUCCCCAGGGACGAGGAUAUUAGUUGUCAUGCAGUGGAGAUUAGCCCAAAUGGUCAAUUCCCUGAAGCUGUUGUACGCCAAAUCUGGAGUGAAUGCCAAUACUUAACAGUAGGUACUCGAGUGCGCGACAUAUCUAAAAGGGAGGUCGCCGCGGGGUAUGUUGCUUGGUACAAAAGAGAAAUAGAGCCUGAAUGACCGGCUAAGAGACCACAUCUCCAAGAAUUUUCUGAGACGUCACAAGAGCAAUGGAAUUGGCUAACUAAGGAAAAUGAAUAUAGGGCCAUUAUAGGAAGAUUGGAAAAGCAAAUCCAAGAGCUGCAAUUUGAAAAUAGUUUGCAAGCCGUAGCCAAUGAGGGAGAAAAGAAGAUAUUAACCUGAGAAAAUGAAUCCUUACGAGUUCCAAAUCUAGAAAAUUAAGGCCGCCAUAGAAAAUCCCCCCAGAAGUACAAAAGAUGAAAAACUCUUAGAAAAUUUGCGGCGGAAAGUAACUGAUUAUGGGUUUGACCUGAAUAAGGCAGAAAGUGAGCUAUCUAGGGUUCGAAAGCAACUGAUUAUAAGUGCGGAGGAACGAGCCCGCAUCCUGUAGCAACUAAAGGAAGGGAAUAACGAUGAGGUUGCUGGUUUAAAGCGGAGGGUCAUCAUGACUGAAAAUAGAAUGACCAAGCAAGCCAGGGACUUCAAAGCCGAAACAGAACAUUGUUAUGCAGUAAUUGCAUGAUUAGAAAGGGAUUUGCGGCAAUUCCAGAAGCUUAAUCAGGUAGCAGGAUGAACUCUAGAGGCAAGGGCCCAACAAAUCGGGCGUUUGCUGCAAGAAAAAGGUGUUAUCAAGGAAAGGAUAGGGGCAAUCGCAGAGUACAUUACCACAAAGUGCAAUCAUUGCGAGGAUAUGACGAAAUCCAUGUUCUUUGCCAUCGCCAUGACAUUUGUUCGUCAAGUGAUGGACAACCUCCACCAUUUCCGAGGAAGUUUAGAACGCAAGCCUGCGACAAGGACGGAUGAUGCCCCGCAAGCUCCAAAAGCAGUUGAAGUCUUAAUGUAUUCUUAAUUUCUGAAAAAUUGUAUUUUUCUUAAAAGAGUUUAUCAGUCUGUAUGUUCUUUUACGCACCACUGGAGUCUGUAAGUUUAUUGUGUCCAAGUAUGGUAGUUGUUUUUAAUUUUGUUAGCUUUCGUAAGUUUAUCAGUCUGUUUGUUCUUUAACGCACCAUUCGAGUCUGUAAGUUUUAUUGUGUCCAAGUAUGGUAGUUGCUUUUAACUUUGUUAGCUUUUGUAAUCAGAAUUUUGUCUUUAUAAAAUUUGACAAUCCCAAAAGUAUCUUUUUAUUUCCAUCACAUUUUUUCAUGAACUACGCUCGUUCUGAUUCAUGCGGCGUCAUGAUACGUAAGCAAUCUUCAUAGGAUUCUACCGUAUUCUUAAAAAGGGAAAGCUAAUAGGAGAUGAGAAGUAGAAACCAGAAGGAAGUUCAGAAUAAAUGUCGAGAUGACGCAUGCGACCAUUGCAAACAUAUAGAAACCCGUUAACUAUGUAGAUGCAUCAUACCCAAUAUGCGAUUUCCUGUUUGUUAUCUAUCCCAAUCUAACAAUUUGUAACUCCAGUUUCCAGUCCAGGUUUUUAGAGAACAGUGAUUGGUUUGUGGUAAGCUGGCAUAGCACAUAUACAUUAUUAGAUCAAAAGGAAGCGCAAAAUGUCAUCCGAAAUGACUCUACCAGAAGUUCCUAUCCAGAGGACAAACCGAUUGCGGGGAUCCCAGCCUUAGAAUCUGUGGCAGCUGAAGAAAAUAGGAUCCUUCGACUGAGAGUUAUGGAGAUGUGGGAUGCUUGGACAAAUGGAAAAGAACCUCCAAGUGCCAUCCCCGGAUUUCCUGAGCUUUUUCCAAGGUUGGGGGGUACCUCCACUACCCCCAUCAGCCACCCAAAUAUCCUCUUGGGGCAGCCUACCAUAUCAGCCAACUUUGUCGAAGCACCCUUUGAAGCCCGUCCCCCGAUGUUCACAUCUGGCCCAAUGCCUAAUAUUUUUACGGCUCCUCCAUGUGCAGCCACCACACAGCCUGCAGUGCCAAGGCCCAUGUUUGAUCCUACAGCUUUCACAUUUCAAACUCCCAACUACCAAACCGAGCCUCCAUCAUACCCCACAUACACUUAUCCUCAACCGGCAUACGAACUCACACGGAUAUAGGAUAAAACUCCUAAGACACCUAAACAAGAUGAGAUAACAAGAAGGAUGAAAAGCCUUGAGCAGAGUUCGAAAAACAUGCAAGGCUUGAGUGGGAAGAAGAGUGUGUCUUACUCGGACUUAUGCAUGUUCCCGCAUGUACACCUUCUCCUGGGAUUCAGAAUGCCGAAGUUUGAAAAGUACGAUGGUCAUGGCGACCCCAUUGCUCAUUUGAAAAAAUACUGCAAUCAAUUGCGUGGGGCAGGUGGAAAAGAAUAACUAUUGAUGGCAUAUUUCGGGGAGAGUUUGGUAGGCAUCGCUUCUGAAUGGUACAUGAACUAGGAUAUCACUCGAUGGCAUAUCUGGGAUGACCAUGCCUAGGAUUUCGUAAGACAAUUCCUGUAUAACAUUGACAUCGCCCCGGACAGGAACUCUUUGGCCAACUUGAAAAAGAAAUGUUCAGAAAGUUUUAGAGAAUAUGCUGUCAAGUGGCGUGAACAAGCGUCAAGAGUAAAAUCGCCUAUGGAUGAGACAGAGAUGGUCACUAUUUUUCUCCAGGCACAGGAGGCAGAUUAUUUCCAAAAUAUGAUGUCAACAAUGGGCAAACCUUUCGCGGAAGCAAUCAAAAUCAGCGAGAUGGUAGAAAAUGGUUUGAAAACAGGAAAUUCUGAGCCAGUCAGCCAUAAGGGUGACCUCCCAAGCCAUACAAAAUAGGGCAGGAGGGUUCGCAAGAAACAAAAAGAAAGAAGAAGCUUCAAUGGCAGCCUCCGGCAUAAGAAGGCACCAUUCCCCCAGGCCCGUGUUCUCAGAAAGAACCUCUCAACACUAAUAUCCCCAUCAAGACAUGCAUUUCCUUCCCAACCAUAUGCAGUCAUGAAUGCCCAGCAAUUUGCUCGACCACAACAACAAGGCAACAGAAACCAGGCCCCGAGAAAUCAGCCUCCCAAAAACCACUAUAAUCCCCGCCCUCCACAAAAUAAUUACCAUCCCAGGGAACCACCCAGGAGACAAAACUUUACACCAAUAGGGGAGUCUUAUGCCAGCUUAUUCCCAAAACUGGUCUAGAUGGGUCUCUUGCAGCCAGUGCCCCCGAACAGGCAGAACCCCGAGUCACCUUCCUAUUAACGGGGUGUACGUUGUGCUUAUCAUUUCGGGGCUGAAGGACAUGACCGCGAAAACUAAUGGACUUUGUAAUAAGCGGUGGAGGAUUUAAUAGAACAAAAGAAAAUAGUGCUGAGAGAUGAAGAGGUCCCGAACGUAACCAAUAACCCAUUGCCAGCCCACAACAAUGGGUCAGUCAUCGGGAUGACUUGUGAGGAUAAAGAGUUCGAUCCUGAUUUAAAAGCCAUAAUAGCCAUUGCUGAUGCAGACAAAAAACCAAAGGUUACCCCCAAGAAGGUUGAAGAAAAGGAAAUGAGUGAAGCUAAGCACUCAGAAGAAGAAAAGAAUUUGAAAUUAAAACUAAGACGGCACCCACCAAGGAAACCAUACUUUACAUCCCACAGGGGCGUCAAGAAAAACAGCCCACUCUGUGCCCCCCAAGAAGGUUUGAGUUGAAUAAGACAAUGUACAUACCCAAGGGAGCUUAUGUGGUACGGGGACCGAUUAAACCACCAAGGCUGAAUGAGCAUAUGGUGAUCGGUCGCGCGCCUCAGUAGCCAAUGAUGGACCCUUCUACCGUCCCAUGGAACUACCAAGAAACUAUAGUAACACACAAGGGCAAAGAAAUCAUUGGGGAAACAUGAAAGGGCCAUCCCGCAAAGAAAUAUUCGGAUAUGGAAGAAGUGAACACUACCACCAAAAGGCGGUUUCCACCCGAAAAUCCUGUAAAUGCUGAAGAGGCAGAGGCCUUCUUUUGAAAAAUGAAUAUGCCAGAAUAUGAGGUGGUGGACCAUCUCGGGAAGUCUCCCAAGCAAGUCUCAUUAUUAUCAUUACUGAUGAACUCUCCAGAGCACUAGAAAGUGUUGGCCAAAACCUUGAAUGAAGCAUAUGUACCGGUUGAAACCUCCGUGGAGAAACUGGAGAAAAUGGAGGAAAGAUUCUUUGCUAAUAAUCAGGUAACAUUCAGCAAGAAUGAUUUACCUCCAGAAGGAGCUGCCCACAACAAAGACUUGCACCUCACCGUCAAAAGUGAAGGCUAUUAUGUCAAAAGAGUAAUGAUAGACGGAGGUUCCGGGGUGGAUGUAUGCCCAUUGUCGACGUUGCAAAGAAUGGAGAUAGGAACAGAGAGGAUCCGUCCCAACAAUGUGUGUGUUCGAGCCUUUGAUGGAAUCAAGAGAGACGCCAUAGAGGAAAUUAACUUAGUAUUGAUCAUUGAUCCAGUCGAUUUUGAAGUGACAUUUCAAGUAUUAGACAUGGACACAUCCUAUAACUAUCUUCUAGGAAGACCAUGGAUUUACGCGGUAGGAGCGGUGCCUUCCACUCUGCAUGAAAUGUUGAAAUUAGAACAUAAGAACUAGGAGAUUGUGGUCCACGGAGAAGAUGAACAGUCAAUUUAGUGUGAUCCCUCCGUCCCCUGCCUCGAAGCUAAAGAGGGAAGUAAACAUAUAGUCUACCAGGCUUUUGAAAUUGUGGUAGCUGAUCAACACAAAGAAAGCAAACCAUUCCCCUAGCCUUUCCUCUCCAAUACCUCAAUCAUGGUGGCAUGAGUGAUGACACACCAAGGGUUUAAGCUAGGCAAAUGACUUGGAAGUUCUCUAUAAGGAAUAACUGAGCCAAUCGUUUUACCUACCGCAGAGAAGUUUUUUGGGCUAGGUUUCUAUCCCAUGCCGGAGGAUAUCACCUAGGCCAACCGUAGGAAACGUCAUGGAUGGGCUUUGGUACAACCCCUACACCACUUAUACAAACAUUUGUAAAACCAAAAUACAAUGAGGAAGAAGAAGACGAGACUUUCACAGCGGAAGAAAUUGAAGAUAUAUGUGGGGCCAUGAGAAAAUUAUUGUAUGAAGCCAACAUGGUCCAGCUGGGAGAAGCUCAAGCACUGCCGAGGUGCUCUACAUGGGACCGGAUGCCAAAUUGCAAAACUGGAAGGCCAGGCCUUUCCCAGUCAGGCGGGAGGCCCGGUAGUCCUGCCUUGCUACCUUUUCUUGCAUCACGGGUUAUUUCAGGGUGUAGCUCGGGUGUUUUUCUUUAGUAUUUUGUCCAUUAAAUUCCAGAUGUAAACCCUGUUAUCUUACAGUUUCAAAGAAAUGAAAUCAAUAUUUCAUCGUUUGCACUUCUCUAUUAUUCCUGAUUUGGUUUUUCUUCUAUUUUCAUCUUUUCUUUCAGUUCCAAUAUUGCGGCUUUAAAUAAUAUGACAUGCUCGCGGACUUCAUGCCUUGACACGAACAUGUGUUUUUCUUCUAUUUUAUCAUUUCUUUCAGUCCCAAUAUUGCGGCUUUAAAUAAUAUUACAUGCUCGCGGACUUCAUGCCCUGACUCAAACAUGCUGCCUAUUUGUGAAAUAAUGAACCAAGAACCAAAGUAUGAUAAAGAAGAGGAUUUUAGGGAAAUCAACCGAGAGUUAGAACAUUUUGAAAAUAUACCUAAGCCGAACUUAAAUGAUACCAAACCAGUUAAUUUGGGUUGUCCUAGUGAAACUAAGGAAACUAAAAUAAGCAUCCAUGUGAAUAGAAAAAUCCGGGAUUCACUGGUUCAACUUCUUCUGGAAUUCAAAGAUGUAUUUGCUUGGUCUUACGAUGAUAUGCCCGGGUUGAGCGUUGAUCUGGUGUUUCAUAAGUUGCCCACAUACCCCGAAUGCCCUUUCAGUCCAACAAAAACAAAGAAAUUUCAAACCCGAUGUCAGCGAUAAGAUCAAAGAAGAGAUCACAAAACAGUUAGAGGCGGGGGUAAUCCGAGUGGUCCGAUACACCACAUGGUUGGCCAAUGUGGUCACGAUACCGAAGAAAGAUGGGAAAACCUGAGUAUGUGUGGACUACAGAGAUUUGAACAAGGUGAGUCCCAAAGACAACUUCCUUUUGCCUAACAUCCACAUCCUUGUCCAGUGCCGAAGAGAGAUGGGAAAACUAGAGCGUGUCUAGACUACAAAGAUUUAAACAAGGCCAAUCCCAAAGACAACUUCCCUCUACCUAAUAUCCACAUCCUUGUUGACAACUAUUCCAAACACGAGAUACAGUCCUUUGUAGAUUGCAACGCAGGAUACCACCAAGUGUUGAUGGAUGAGGAAUAUGCUGAGAAAACUACUUUUACCACACCUUGGGGAACUUACUUUUAUAGAGUUAUGCCUUUCAGUUUAAAGAACGCCGAGGCAACAUAUAUGAGGGCUAUGACCACCAUUUUCCAUGACAGGAUGCAUAAGGAAAUAGAAGUAUAUGUGGACGAUGUGAUUAUUAAGUCCAGGACUCAGGGUGAUGAUGUAAGAGACUUAAGAAAGUUCUUUGAAAGGCUUCGCAAGUAUGAUUUGAAAUUGAAUCCAUCCAAGUGUGCCUUUGAGGUCCCGUCAGGCAAACUGUUGGGAUUCAAUGUCAGUCGAAGAGGUAUCAAGUUGGAUCCGACUAAGAUAAAAUCCAUUUGAGAGCUACCUCCUCCAAAAACUAAGAAGGAUGUAAUGAUCCUGCUGGGAAGACUGAAUUACAUCAGCCGAUUCAUCGCCCAGUUGACUUCCACAUGCGAGCCCAUAUUCAAGCUAUUGAAAAAGGACACAGCAAUUAAAUGGACUGGCGAGUGUCAAGAGGCUUUCGAAGGAAUCAAACAAUACCUGCCCAACCCACCAGUCUUGGUCCCGCCAGAACUGGGAAGGCCAUUGUUUCUAUAUCUAAUAGUCCUGGAGAGCUCUUUUGGUUGUAUUCUCGGGCAGCAUCAUAUCCUUCAAAAGUCAAGUCUUGAUGAUCAGGUGCCCACCUGUAGAACAAGGGAAUAUCUUUCGAAUUGCAAGUUCUAGUAGUGAGCGCCCACUUGUAGAACGAGGGAAUGCUUUCAACGGAAUACAUCUCAAGACCAGUAAUUCAACAUCAAACAUAGAAGAGAAAACAAGAAGUCAACAAGGAAAUAAAAAGUUCCACAGGAAGAAAUACGAGACAACAAGACAACAAGACAACAAGAAGUUCCACAGGAAGAAAUACCAGUUAAUAAAGCAAUGAGGAGUUCCACAACAAGAAAUACAAGACAACAAAGCAACAAGGAUUCAGAGCAAGUCGGAAGAUAUAGAUAUGUUUUCUUGUAAUCCACGGUUAAUAUCUUAGUCUAGAUUCUUUAUUUUUCACAAUGGUGCAAUAAGGGGGUCUAGCAGAAGUAGCAGCAGCAGCAAUAGUAAAUCACAGCCUCGGUAGUCUCAGCAACCAAACAUUCCUGAACUACAUUGACCUGAUUCCUCUGCAGCCAAGGAUAUGUAGGCAACCUUUGAAGCAGGGUGCGGUCAAAGUUUUCAAAAAUGCUUCUCACGGAGUAUUCAAACGGGCAAAAAGCACUCAUGUUUGCUCACUUAUCUUUGCACGAAAGCUCUUCGUAUUUCUGCGCAAAGAGGGGCAGCUGUGAGCAUGUGAUUUUUUCCCUAUAAGAAUUACUCCCAUAAAUUAAAAACAAAAAAAAAUCGUUGGUUUAAUUGCAAUUUUGAUUUUUCGUGGCAUUAUUGUGUUAAUUGUUGGCAUUUCUGUGCAUUUUUAAAUAACAAAAAUACAAAAAUAUAUGAGGCAUGUGCACUUAGGAGUAAUUUUGUAUUUUUAGAAAUUAAUUAGUAAUUGGAAAAGGAAAUUUAAAAAAGGGCUUAAUUUUGAAGCAUCUGAUCUUAGGAGUAAUUUUUUAUUUUUAGAAAUUAAUUAGUAAUUGGAAAAGGAAAUCCAAAAAAUGGCUAAAUUUGCAUUUAAUAUUGUUUGUUAAGUAAUUUUUCCUUUUAAUAUUUUUAAUUAUGUGGUAAUAAUUAUUGUAUGGCUAAUUGGGUUUUUUAGGGUGAUUAGGAAUUUUUAUGUUUUAAAUAAUUUGGAAAUGAAAUAAAGAAAAAGAUUUAAAGAAAACCUGAAAAUCUGAUUCAAAUAUAUAUUUAUCUGGGCCAUUUUGAUAUAAACCCUAGCCCAAAUGCACAGUCCACCCGUCCAUCAACACCGUCCAGCCCCAGGGGUUCCAAAUGACGUCGUAUGAUAGCCUUUCCUCUUGGCCGUCCAUCACCCAUCAUCCAACAACUCACAUGAAGCCAUGCAUUUUACAUAAAAGUGUCCAAACGUUAUGUAAUAACAUUAGAGACAAAAUCAACCCUUCUCGUAUAGUUCACUCAACAGUGUAAUUUCACCAAUGAGCCACCCUAACACCACCAUCUGCCGCCGCUGGCGUAACCCCAACCCCAUAAAUAUCACCCUUCGAAUCACCACCGAUUUGCUCGAAUAUUCGAUUAAAAUAUGGCAGAUCCGCCGUCCACGGCGGUGGCCGGUGGCAACCACCUCCAAAUCAACACCAAUAAACCUCCUCACCAUCUUUACCCUAACCUUGUCGGUGACUACCCUCAAACAUGGCCACAACUCACCAAAUAUUCGUCUGAAGAUGCCAGCUCCGCCAUGCAUGGCGGUGGCUACCAUCCAAUUCCCUUCAAACACCACACCCCGCCCUCCUCUAGCCCUCAUCCACCUAAUAGCCCAUCUAAACUCACUCAAUUGGUCCCAAAAUGCCCCCAGUAUCGGUACCAACCAAUUGAAGACAAAUCCAAGAUUUGAAGUCAUUCGAGGAUUUUGAUUGACUCUGGCAUUGACAGAUUGAAAAAAUCUGAUAAGUCCACAUUCUCUUUUUAGUUUUAGUUAUUUUUUCUCUUGUUUUGUGCCUAUUCUGAACAAAUUCGGGCUGUUAGGGCAAAUUUUAAUUGGCUUUAGCAUAUCUUGAUUUCAAAGGCUGAAUUGCAUGCUAGUUUCAUUCAUGAUUGCGUCCCGUGGUCAGUAAUAGUAUGUUUGUUCCUGAUAUCAAUUCUUAUGAAAAAAAUUAAUUAAUUCAUGCCUUUGCUUGCAUAAUCUGAAUAUUCAGGUGUUUUGUGUAAAUAGUUUUGCCUAAUUCAUGAAUAAUGUUAGAGUUAUCAUAGAGUCAGUGAGUCCAUUGUUUCCCAUUUUGUCUUUCAUUAUUUGGUUUAAUUGCUGAAUGGGUGAUGAUGGAAUUGGGUGAUAGAUUUUGUUUGAUGCCAGCAAUACCAUGCUUGACCUUUGAAAUUGAAUGCAAGUAAAAAAGGGUCUGGACUGUUCUAGUAAUUAUUCAUUAGUGUUAAUGAUUUCUUGACCAUUUUAAGUUCACAAUGUCGAUUAAUAGACCUGGACUUCUCUAGUAAUUAUUCAUUAGUAUUUAUGAUUUCUUGAUCAUUUUAAUUUCACAAGGUCAAUUAAUGAUUAGCAUGUUUUGAGGAACCAAUUGUUAAGCUUUGAGUAAACUUAGUGGGUUUGGAUUUCUAGUUGUUUGCUGAAUUUGGACUGCUUGUCCUUGAGUAGUAUCAUUUCGAUUGAUCAUAGCUAUUAGGAUUAGAAAAUUAGUCUUAGGAGUUGAUUUAGAAUCCAAAUAGACAAUUAAAGGGUAGCACAGGAUUUGUACAGACAUUUCUGAUAGUUUUAAGACAAUCAAGGGAAAUAUAGACCUUUUAGGGUGUUAAUGGUAAUAUUGGGACAAACAAGGGUAAUAUAGGUGGCAUCUAAAUGGUAGAAAAUGGUAGGAGCAUUUAGACCUUUCUAGAAAGGGUCUUUAAUACAAAAUCAGCAAUAUUGCUGCAGUAACUUGGGAACAAGUCAUGAAAUGAGGGUUCAAAUAGGUAAUAUCUGGAAAUUAAAGAGGGACUUAAGGGCAAAAAAUAAUUAAAAAAAUGAUGCCCUAGCUUUUGGCUAUAAAUGGGUUAAAAUCACUCAAAACAGGGGUUGGAAAAUCUGGAAAAAGCCUCCCUAUAAUUCUCUUAUAAUUUUGAAGCUAAAAUCCAGAAAUACUGUUCCAUUACUCAUCAUAGUAUCAUUUGAUCACAUCAUGUUUGGAAACCAUUUUUGUCUUAGUUAGUAUGGAAACAAUCGAGUGUGGCUUAUAAAAUUUGGUUUUGAGGUUGUUGUGGUUCCAACUUGUCUUGAAAUUUCAUUAUCUCACUGUUACAUUGCUUUCCUGGGGUUCAAAAAUUGAAAUUUGAAGUCUCUGGGGUUUUCUAUUGGUCUUUGGGGUAUACAUCUGGGUAUAGGCUGCUUCAGUUGUUGCAUUGAUGUGGUUGAAUCUGCUGACCACCACUUUUCUAUUGCCUUGUGACUUCCAGGUACACUUACUAAGCUUAAUGCAAAUGUAGAGAUCUAGUUGGUACUUGAGAUGAAGUCAACUGCAAUUUUGCUGUCAACUUGUUGUCUCUUGUUCUUACAUUUUGAUUGAAUUCCUUGAUUUAGUUAAGUUUUUUUCUGAAUAUAAAUAAAUCAGGACUGUUUGGACUGUUAGAUCAGUGAUAUAAUUGUUAGUAGUUGUAAUUUGGUUCUGGGUUUUCUAAGGGUCGGACCAACUUGAAGGACUAUUUGGAUUGUUAAAAUUCAUUAUAUGAUACUUGUUAGUAAUAUAAUUGCGUCUGAGAUUUCCUAAGUGUUAGCUAAAUUCGAGCUUGAUAGUUGGUUGUGUUGAAUAAAUUUAAGUUGAGCAGGUGACAUUGGUCACAUCCAUUGCGUGACAUAAGCCAUCACGUAGCAAUUAUUUGCACAAUGCCAAGCCUGUUUGGGCUGAUUGGCCCACCUGGCCCACCAACUUCAGUAGUCUAUAUAUAUAAUCCCUGCGAUUCAUCUUGGAUUCAUGAUAGGCCCCAAUGUACAGUAAUAAAUAAUUACUCAUCUCAUUUGAAGGUUAAGUGAAAGGGUUGCCCUUGGACCCAAGAUUAGGGCUGUCAAGCUGAGCUCCAUUGAGGCCCAGCUGAUAUAUGAACCUAGGCCAUUCGAGUGUGGCAUUGACAAUAGACCCUCGUAGUUAAUUUUUACGAUCAAAUAGUUUUAGAUUCAAAUAGUCCUUUGGGUCAUCUCCUGUAGAAUACAAAGUUUAAAAUACUUAGAAUUUGAGACGAGUCGUUUAGCGAAUAUUUAUGGCCUCUCACGAAGAAAAUAACGCGCUAGUCGCCUUAGGACACGUCUUUAAUAAUUCACCUUCCCUAAAUGCGGGUACACAUUUAUGUGACCCAAAUCUAAAUCUCAACGAAGUUGAAAUGUGUCAAAAUUCACAUGUGCAUUUAUGUGACGUGGUUCGAGACAUGUUUCAACGAUGUUGCAAUUUUCUUUAAUAAUAAAAGUGGAUAAAAGAUUAAAAUGCACUUAGGUUCUAAAUUAUAUAAAAUCAGAUAAUGCAAGCCAAAUAUAACAUUUGGGCGGCCGUGCUAGAGCCACAGGACCCGGGAAUGCCUAACACCUUCUCGUGGGUUAACAGAAUUCCUUACUCGGAUUUCUGGUUUGCCGACUGUUAAACAUAGUCAUUCUUUCCUCGAUUCAGGAUUCUAAACAGUGACUUGGGACACCAUAAAUCUCUCAAGUGGCGACUCUGAAAUUCUCUUAAAUAAUUGAAUCCCGUUUCAAUUGUCCUUUAAUUGGAAAAACUCNNNNNNNNNNNNNNNNNNNNNNNNNNNNNNNNNNNNNNNNNNNNNNNNNNNNNNNNNNNNNNNNNNNNNNNNNNNNNNNNNNNNNNNNNNNNNNNNNNNNNNNNNNNNNNNNNNNNNNNNNNNNNNNNNNNNNNNNNNNNNNNNNNNNNNNNNNNNNNNNNNNNNNNNNGAGUUAACAGAAUUCCUUACCCGGAUUUCUGGUUCGUGGACUGUUAAACAAAGUCAUUCUUUCCUCGAUUCAGGAUUCUAAACAGUGACUUGGGACACCAUAAAUCUCUCAAGUGGCGACUCUGAAAUUCUCUUAAAUAAUUGAAUCUCGUUUGGAUUGUACUUUAUUUGAAAAAGCUCCCCUUAUCUACGCCCCUCUCCGGGUUGUACUAGCCAAAAGGAGGUGUGACAGCUAUAUGCAAGCUACUAUGGAACAUUUGGGAAAGGAAAAACUGUAAGUGCAAUAGAGACAUGCGUACUAUAUAAAAGGAAACACGGUUACAGAGCAAAAAAAAAAUCCAUCAUGGGUUAUCCAAAAGAUAUUCAAAGCAAGGAGCUACUUUGCACAUGCAGGAUUUACAAAAGAGGAUAUCAGAAAGAUGGAGAAAUGCUCUGCCAAACAAAUAUACAAAGUCGUACAAGGAGAAUUUCCAAAGAUGACAUGGAGAAAAUUAGUAUGCAACAAUCAGGGACAACCCGAGUGGAUAUUCAUACUAGGGUCGGCAACACAACAAAGGCUUGCUACAAAAAAAGAUUUGCAAGAUGGAGGAUCAUUUCACAACAAAUAUGUGCACUAUGCCGAAGACAGAAUUAAAUUGUGCAACACCUAUUCUUUGACUGAUAUAUAUCAGGAGAUAUAUGGCAGCACCUACUGCAAUGACAAGGUAUAUAGAGAAUAAAGAAAUCUUGGCAGGAGGAAUUGACAUGGACGAAAUAGGUUAAAAAAAGAAAAGAGUAGAGGUGCAAAAGUGUGUAGAAUGACCCUAUCAGCUGCAGUCUACCAUAUUUGGCGAGAAAGAAAUAAUGUGACAUUUCAAAAGAAUAAGAGAACAACUAAUUCUAUAAUACGAUUGAUCAUUUAGGAAAUACAUAUAUGUGAUGACCCAAACGUUCAGCACUUAUUUUUAAAAUGAAUUCUAUAUUUCGAGGCCUUAAAAGCCUCUUUUAGCAUCAACUCACUUUACGUGCGCAGCCCGGAUGCAUAGCCGGAAAGCCAUUAUGUGAAAAUCUAUAAAAAUGAUUAAUUUUGACUUUAAAAUGAAUUUAAGUUGACUUCGAUCAACAUUUUAGAUAAUUGGACCCAGACCCGUGAUGUGACGGUUUUGAAGGUCCGAAGGAAAAUAUGGGACUUGGGCGUAUGUCCGGAAUCAAAUUCCGAGGUCCCAAGCCUGAGAAAUAAAUUUUUAAAGAAAAUUAUUUUCUGCAAUUAAUUAUGAGUUUUAAAAAUGAGGUGUGUUUAAAUUUGAUGGUAUCAGGCCUGUAUUAUAGUUCCAAAGCCCAGUACAAGUCUUAUAUAUGGUAGUCGAGUCUCUGAAAUUUGGUAAGAAACGUACUUGGAAUGACAUGAACUGGACCGUAUUUGAGAAAACUGGAAUUUGAAGUUCUUAACUGAUUUCAUGAUUUUUGAUGCUAAAUUCAUAGUUAUUGAUGUUAUUUUGGCAAUUUGAUCACACGAGUAAGUCUGCAGGGUGUUCUUCAGGUAGUGCGCAUGUUUGUUUUGGAGUCCCGAGGGCUUAGGUGGGUUUUAGAUUGGCAUCAGAGAUUUUUUAGACUUAGAAAUCUGGUAUUUGUGCUGAUUGUUGGUGCUUGAGUUUUUAACUCUAUGCGACCGCAUGGUAACCCCCGCGAACGCUGAGCACAAAUUGGAAAGGGUGCAUGUUUGCACUAUAUGAAUGCGUAGACCUGGGUGCGAACGCGGAGCUUUGGGAAUUUACUCUACGCGAACGCACCAGGUUAGCCGUGAACGAUAGAGUAGGAAGGGGCCUGGCGGAUAUGUAGUUUUAACCUUAUACGAACGUAGCCCCUAGCUCGCAAAUGCGUAGGUUAGGAAAGUCAUGCAAUCGCAUAGGCCUGUUCGCGAUCGUGUAGAGUAUUUUUGCCCAGUCAAAACAAUAGUAGAAAUGGGAGUCUUCAUAAUAUUCAUAAAUUUUUCUUCCAAACUCCAAAUUAAGCGAUUUUUAGGGGAACUUCACCACAAAUUCAUAGGUAUAUAAUCUUAGACUCAUUUUCUUAAAUUUCUAUUAACACCCAUUAUAUUUCUAGGCUUAAAUCAUGUUCUUAGGGGUAGAAAAUUAGGGAUUUGGGUAGACUGAAGACUUUUUGUAUAAAUGGAAUUUAGACCUCGUUUUGGGGUCAAAUAUCGAUACUUAUUACAUAUUUGGGCUUGUGGGUGAAUGUGUGAUCGAGUUUUGGUCCGAACCUUGUGUUUUGACCAAGCAGGCCCAGGGUCGAUAUUUGACUUGUCGGGAAGAAUUAUAAGAAAUCUAUAAUUAAGAAUUGGAAUUGCAUUGUUUAGCAUUUGUUGAUGUUAUUAAGUGGAUUAUGUCUAGAUACAAUUGAUUUGGAGCCAAAUUCAAAAGGAAAAGCGAUGUUUGAGGGUUGAGUUGGUAGUGGAAGUUCGAGGUAAAUGUUUGGUCUAACCUUAGCUUGAGGUAUUAGGAGUUGUGUCCUAUUUUCUAUUUGCUUCUUGUCGAGUACGAUAUAUAGGCAUGGUGACGAGUAUCUAUACGUUAGUGUCGAGCAUAACCGUGAGUACUAAAUUGUGACUUAUUGUGUUCUUAAAUAAUAAUAUGAAUGCUUAAAUUAAUGGUUCUCAGUAUUGAGCAAGGAUUAAGAUCGUUCUUGUGGAGAUUACUUAUGAUUGAGUAUUGGUGUUAGCUGAGGUAGUUAGAUCUUGGAACAAGAUUGGUUAUAGUUGUUUCUCCCUUUCCAGGACGUAUUUACUUAUACCGUCGAUUCCCUUGCCGGGAUAGUAUUGAUCCCUUGACGGGACUCUUGUUAUGAUUAUUGUUGAUUGUAUAUGUAGAUCGGGUUGCGCGCCGCAACAAUGUUAAAUUUGGAUCGGAUUGCACACCGCAACAAUAUUAUAUAUGGAUCAGGUUGCACCCCGCAACAAUAAUAUGAAUUGAUCGGGUUGCACGCUGCAACAAUGAUAUAAAUGGAUUGGGUUGCACGCCGUAACAAUGAUAUAAAUGGAUCGGUUGCAUGCCAUAACAAUGUUAUAAAUGGAUUGGGUAGCACGCUACAAUAAUAAUAUAAAAUAUAUGGGGUUCAAUGCUGCAUUAGUGAUAUAAAUGGAUCGGGUUGCACGCCGCAACAAUGAUACAGCUGGAUUGAAUUGCAUGCUGAAAUAGUGAUCAAUGAUAGGGAUUGGGUUGCGUGCCACAAUAGUAUUAUUAUUAUUUUGAUGUAGAUCUUAAAUUGUUCUCUUAUAUUUCUAUUAGAUUAUUGCCGAAAUUGAUAUUCCCCCGCAACAUGUACCCUCUCUCAUUCUCGUAUGUUACUGCUGGAAUUGAUAUUCCCCCGUAGCAUGUAUCCCCUCUCAUCUUUAGCUGUCUAUUUAUAUUUUAUUUUUCACUCUAUAUUAUAUAACUGUACAAGUUUAAUUGGUAGUAUGGUCCUAGCCUCAUCACUACUUUCCCGAGGUUAGGCUAGGCACUUACCAGCACAUGGGGUCGGUUGUGCUGAUACUACACUUUGCACUAUGUGUAGAUCCCAGAGUAGUUUUUGGGCAGUAGCAUUUGGGGUAGUUGCCUUCAAUCCAGUAAGAGAUUCUAAGGUAGUCCUGCAGGUGUUUUCAGGCCUGUCGUUCUCUUCUAUCUUAUUAUGUAUUCUGUUUCAGUUGUUCUAAGAUAGAUUGUACUUUCUUUUCAUAUAUUUGCUUGUAGCAUUCAUAGUCAGUUCGUGAUAUCGUGACACCAGAUUCCAAGUAGAGACAUAUGUUGGCAUUGUCGUACUGGCUUUAGUUAUUUUAUCAGAGUAAAUCUUUUGCUUGAUUCUUAUUAAUCGUUAAUAUUUCAAUGUUGAUUACCUGUUAAACAAAAUUUUUAAAAAGGAAUAAAAUGAGAUAGUUAGUGAUUCUUUAUUUCACGACUUGACUAGCUUCUACAAGUAAGCAUCAUCACGACUCCCGAGGGUGGGAAAUUCGGAUCGUGACAAGUUGGUAUCAGAGUUCUAGGUUACAUUGGUCUCACAAUUCACGGAAAAGCUUAGUAGAGUCUGAGUGAUCAGUACUAUAUUUAUCCCCCAGAGGCUACAUAGUUAGGAAAAUCUUCACAUUUAUUCUUUCUUAUCGUACGGUUUGGUUUCUCAAUACUAAUUGAAUUUUUACUUUGUUCUUUCGCAGAUGGCAAGAACACGUGCUUCCUCAUCCAACGAUCGGCAGCCCGAGCCCCCAACAAUAGCUCCCAUAAGGGUCAAAGGUCGAGGCCGAGGCCGUGCUAGAGGGCGAGGCCGAGGUCAUGCUAGAGGCCAAGGCAGGGCAAAGUCAGCCCAGAGCAGCAGCACUAGCAGCGGAGCCUCAGGGUGACUUUGAUGAUGAGGUUUUGGCCUAGACAAUUUUGGUGGGCCCAGCUCAGGUAUCAGAGGGUUUAUUGCUACCCCGGUACUCCAGGAUUCUAUGGACCAUUUAAUGGGCCUUAUAGAGAGUGUCAUCCGGGUAGGCUUGCUUCCUAUAGCACCAGUCGUCUCUCAGGCUGGAGGAGGAACCCAAAAUCCUACUACUCGCACUCUGGAGUAGAUGGCUCCCCAGUUUGAGACUCCAGUAGCUCAGCCAGUUGGAGUAGUUCAGCUGGGUGUAGUGGCUCAAACCAGUAGUGGAACAACUAUGUAUGACAAUGCUUUGUGGAGAUUGGACAGGUUCUUUAAGCUCUUCACUACUACUUUCAGUGGUGCAUCUUCUGAGGAUCCCCAGGAUUAUCUAGACAGCACUCAUGAGGUUCUAAAGAACAUGGGGAUAGUGGUGACCAAUAGUGCCAAUUUUGCAACUUUUCACUUAUCUGGAUCUGCCAAGACUUGGUGGAGAGAUUAUUGUUUGGCUAGAUUAGCCGGAUCACUAGAUUUGGCUUGGGAGCAGUUUAAUCAGCUAUUUCUGGAAAAGUUUCUCCCUAUCACUCAGAGUGAACCUAUCGGAGGUAGUUUGAGCGUUUCUAGUAGGGUUCUAUGACCGUUACUCAGUAUGACACCAGAUUCAUCUACUUGGCUUGUCAUGCUUUUGUCAUAUUUCUCACCAAGCGAGAGAGGGUGAGGAGGUUCAUUGAGGGACUUAUUUUGCCAAUUCGACCUCAGAUGGCUACGGAGAUUAGGAGUGAGAUUACAUACUAGGAGGUCGCCAAUGUGGCCAAGAGAAUGGAGAUGGUUUUGUUGCAGGGAGGUAAUCAUAGGUCGGACAAGAGGCCUCCUCGUUCAGGAAGAUUUAGUAGUGUCUCGUCUGGAGACAGGGAUUCGUAUGGUAGAGGACAUCCCCCUAGGCUCUUUCAGUCAGCACUUCCGGCUUCUCAUGGCGCUUCAGGUGGUCAUGGUUCUCAUAUGCAGUAUUCUGAUUAACAGCCCUACAGUGCACCACAUGCUCCAAUCAGUGCAUCACCGCUCUAGAGUUUCUGGGGUGGUCAUUCAGGUUGCCAAGGUCAGUCUUAGUUUCAGAAGUAAUACUCAGGUUCAUGCUAUGAGUGUUGUGAGUAUGGUCAUAUCUAGAGGUCUUGUCCGAGAUUUGUGGGUAAUUAGUCGCAGCAGCAGGGUUCUUGUGUUAUGGUUCAGGCACCAGGAAUUCCAUCGCCCUCUUUGCCAGCUAGUGGUGGGGGUAGAGGUGCUAGAGGUAGAGGUAGAGGUUUUAGAGGUAGAGCUUAGGUAGCUAGAGGUGGAGUCCAUCCAGCAGCAAGCCGUCCUAGAGAUGUAGUCUAGGGUGGUGGGGCCCAGCCUCGAUGUUAUGCUCUUCCAGCUAGGCUUGAGGCUGAGGCUUUCUAUAGAGUUAUCAUAGGUACUAUUCUGGUUUGAGGCAGAGAUGCUCAGUUUUAUUUGAUCUAGGGUCUACCUACUACUAUGUGUCAUCUUAUUUUGCAUCGUAUCUGGUCAUGCCUAGCAAUUCCUUGAGUGCCCUUGUAUGUAUGUCUACACAUGUAGGUGAUUCUAUUGUGAUAGAUCGAGUCCAUCAUUCUUGUAUUGUGGUGAUUAGGAGUCUUGAAACUUAUGCAUAUUUGUUGGUUUUGGACAUGGUUGAUUUCAAUGUUAUAUUGGGGAUGGACUGGUUAUCACCUUACCAUGCUAUCUUGGACUUUCAUGCCAAGACUGUGACCUUAGCCUUGCCCGGUUUACCUCAUUUAGAGUGGAGAGGGACUCUUGGUCAUUCUACUCGUAAUGUUAUCUCUUAUAUGAAGGUUCGGCAUAUGAUCAAGAAGGGGUGUUUGGCCUAUUUGGGUUACGUUCGCGAUUCUAGUGCUGAGGUCCCUUCUAUUGAUUCUGUGUCAUUGUUUGGGAGUUUCCUGAGGUAUUUCCUUGAGAUAUGCCAGGUAUGCCACCCGACAGGGAUAUUGAUUUUUGCAUUGAUUUGGCUCCGGUCACUCAGCCCAUUUCUAUUAUACAGUAUCAUAUAGCACUGAGUUGAAAGAAUUGAAAGAGCAGUUGUAAGACUUUCUUGAGAAGGGUUUCAUUAGAUCCAGUGUUUUACCUUGGGGUGCACCGGUGUUGUUUGUUAAGAAGAUGGAUGAUCGAUGAUAAUAUGUAUUGAUUACCAGCAAUUGAACAAGGUUAUGAUCAAGAAUAAGAUCAACCGGUGCCAAGGUAGUUUCAAAGAUUGACUUGAGAUCUAGCUACCAUCAAUUGAGGAUUAGGGCAUCUGAUGUCCCUAAGACAUCAUUCCGCACUGAAAUAGACAUUAUGAGUUCUUGAUAAUUCCAUUUGGGUUAACAAAUGCCCCUGCAGCUUUUAGAGAUUUGAUAAACCGAGUGUUCAGGCCAUACUUGGAUUUGUUUGUGAUAGUCUUCAUUGACGAGAUUUUGAUCGAUUCCUGCAGCGGUGAGGUGCAAGAUCAGCAUCUAAGGGUGGUUCUUCAGACUUUUAGGUCCAGUCAAUUGUACUUUUUGAAGUGUGAGUUCUGAUUGAGUUCAAUUGCAUUCCUGGGUCAUAUUGUAUCAGCAGAGGGUAUUCAGGUUGAUCUGAAAAAGAUUGAGGCAGUCAAGAACUGGCCUAGACCAGCAUUAGCUACAGAGAUCCAGAGUUUCUUGGGAUUGGCAGGCUACUAUCAUCAGUUCGUGGUGGGGUUUUCAACUAUUGCAGCCCCGAUGACCAGGUUGACCUAGUAGGGGGGCCAGUUCAGAUGGUUAGACGAGUGCCAGGCGAGCUUUUAGAAGCUCUGACAGCUUUGACUAUGGCAUUGGUAUUGGUUUUUCUCACAGGUUCAGGACCAUAUACUGUUUAUUGUGAUGCGUCUCGUAUUGGACUUGGUGUAUUGUCGAUGCACGAUUGCAAGUUCAUUGCAUAUGCUUCACGAAAGUUGAAGAUUAAUGUGAAGAACUAUCUGGUUCAUGACAUAGAGUUAGCAUCCAUUGUUCACACAUAGAAAAUUUAGAGGUAUUAUCUGUAUGCCGUAGCAUGUAAGGGGUUGGGUACUUUUAACCCUAUGCGAAAGCGGCCCCUAGAUCGUGAACGUGUAGGUUAGGAAAGUAAAACCUAUGCGAUCGCAUAGGCCACUUCACGAUCGCAUAGUGUAUUUUUGCCCAGUCAUUUAAAACAAUAGCAGAAACGGGAGUCUUCAUAAUUUUCAUAACUUUUUCUUCCAAACUUGAAAUUGGGCGAUUUUUGAAGAGGAACUUCACCACAAAUUCAUAGGCAUGUAAUCUUAGACUCAUUUUCUUCAAUUUUCAUUAACAUUCAUUAGAUUUCUAGGCUUAAACGAUGUUAUUAAGGGUACAAAAAUAGGGAUUUGAGUAAAGUUAGGGUUUUUUGUAUAAAUGAAAUUUAGACCUCAUUUGGGGUUGGAUUUCGAAACUAAUUGCAUAUUUGGGCUCGUGGGUGAAUGGGUGAUCGAGUUUUUGUCCGAAUCUCAUAUUUUGACCAAGCGGGCCCGGGGUGGAUUUUUGAAUUUUUGGGAAGAAUGAUAGGAAAUGUUUAGAAUUUAUUGAUGUUAUUAAGUCAAUUAUGUCGAGAUACAAUUGAUUUAGAGCCAACUUCAAAAGGGAAAGCGGUGUUUGAGACUUGAGUUGACCGUGGAAGUUCGAGGUAAGUGUUUGGUCUAACCUUAGCUUGAGGGAUUACCAGUUGUGUCCUAUUUGUUAUUUGCUUAUUGUCAAGUACAACAUAUAGGCAUGGUGACGAGUAUCUAUACGUUCGUGUCGAACAUAACCGUGUGUCUUAAAUCAUGGUUUAUUGUGUUCUUAAAUAAUACUAUGGAUGCUUAAAUUAAUGAUUCUAAGUAUUGAGCAAGGAUUAACAUCGUUCUCGUGGAAAUUGCUUAUGAUUGAGUAUUGAUUUUAGCUGAGGUAGUUAGAUGUUGGAACAAGAUUAGUUAUAGUUGUUUCUCCCUUACCGGGACGUAUUUACUUACACCGCCGAUUCCCUUUCCAGGAUAGUAUUGAUCCCUUGUCGGGACUCUUGUUAUGAUUGUUAUUGAUUGUAUAUGUGGAUCGGGUUGCGCGUCGCAACAAUGUUAAAUUUGGGUCGAGUUGCACGUCGCAACAAUAUUAUAUGUGGGUCGGGUUGCAUGACGCAAAAAUAAUAUGAAUGGAUCGGAUUGCAUGCCGCAACAACAAUAUAAAUGGAUCGGGUUGCACAUCGCAACAAUGAUAUAAAUGAAUCAGGUUGCAUGUCGCAACAGUAAUAUAAAUGGAUCGGGUUGCACGCAGCAACAAUGAUAUAAAUGGAUCGGGUUGCGCUCCGCAACAAUGACAUAAAUGGAUCGGAUUGCAUGCUGCAACAAUGAUACAGUUGGAUCAGGUUGCACGCCGCAACAGCGAUAAAUGAUCGGGAUCGGUUUGCGCGCCGCAAUAGUAUUAUUAUUGUUUUGAUGUAGAUCUUAAAUUGUUCUCUUAUAUUUCUCGUAGAUUAUUGCUGGAAUUGAUAUUCCCCCACAGCACGUACCCCCUCCUAUUAUUAUUUAUUUAUUUAUUUAUUGUUGUAUAUUAUAUAACUGCACAGGUUUAAUUGGUAGUCUGAUCCUAGCCUCGUUACUACUUCACCAAGGUUAGGCUAGCACUUACCAGCACAUGGGGUUGGUUGUGCUGAUACUAUACUCUGCACUAUGUGCAGAUCCCGGAGCAGCUUUUGGGCAGUAGCAUUUAGGGUGGUUGCCUUUAGUCCAGUUAGAUAUCCCGAGGUAGUCCUGCAUUCAUCUGCAGGUCCGGUGUUCUCUUCUAUCUUAUUAUGUAUUCUGUUUUCAUUUGUUCCAAGACAUAUUGUACUUUCUUUUUAGACAUUUACUUGUAGCAUUUAUAGACAGUCCGUGAUAUUGUAGCACCAGAUUCCGGGUAGAGACAUAUGUUGGCAUUGUCGUACUGCCUUUAGUUAUUUUAUCAUAUUUAGUCUUUCGCUUGAUUCUCAUUUAUCGUUAAUAUUUCAAUGUUGGUUACUUGUUAAUCCAAAUUGUUAAAAAUGGCUUAAAUGAGAUAGUUAGUGAUUCUUUAUUUUGCAGCUUGCCUAUCUUCUACGAGUAUGCGCUAUCACGACUCCCGAGGGUGAGAAUUCCGGAUCGUGACAAUGUUAGGGCUACCAUAAUUCCCCGCUUUGACAAUGUUCGUAAGAAUUGUAAAUACUGUUACUUGGUAAAUAAAAUACUUUAAUUACCAAAAAAAAUAUUAACUCUUAAGACCGAAAUAUGUAAAUAUUUUCCACCAACUUUUUCGUAAAAAUUGAAAUACCUGAACCUCAAUUUCAGACAUGAAAUUUCCAGAUUAUAAUUCACGGUCGCUCGAUUUAAACUUUGUGAAUUUGACGUAUGAUUAGCUAAUACUUACAUUGACCACAUCAAGAAAUCUUUCAAGUUGUUGAUGAGCAUAAUCUAAUAUUGGACUAUGGAUCGUGAAUCUCUUUAUAUGGUAUGAUUCAAUCCGGUUAAAAGAUAUAAGUAAAAAAACUACCACAUAAUUGAAACUCCCUCUAAAGUAAACAUGCACAAGGGUUGCAAGUUAUCUUCCUUAAUUGCAUUUACUAUACCUAUUCAUAUUAAAGAGACAACAUUGAACUUCUCGAAUGCAUGAAUUUUUCUCUUUGAUCGAUCCCUUUCAUAUGAAAAACACACACAAAUUAGAGCAUUUAAUGGGUGAUAAAUUAACUUUGUUUCUUAGUGAUUCAAAUAAAGUUGGGGUAAUUAUUUUGGUAGCAACCAUAACAAUUUUCGCUGCAUGUAGCAAAGUGCAUACAAUUUGUUGUUCUUGCUCCGUAAUUUAAAUAAACAAUGGUAUUAGAGCAAGCGAUAUUUUUUCCUGGUUACAUCUUCCCAAACGAUGAUAUAAUUUUUUUAAGAUUGCUACUGCAAUUUUCUUUUGCACUAUAGCAGUAAAGAAAGAAAGCGAUACAAUUAUUUGAUAACAAUUCUAAUAGCGUUGAUAAGUUAUUUGGAUAACCAUUGCGGUGUCGUUUGGUGUUUUAACUUUAGCUUUGAUAGAACUGUUAAUCUUUAUUGGAAUUGAAACAAAGUUUGCAUAAGAAAAUAUGUAGGUGCAGAGAAGAAAUUUGUGAAUUAACUAUUUAUUUUGACCUUCUUUGCAUCUGAUGGUGCUUCUAGAACAAAUAUAUAUUGUACACUAAUUUUAAAGAAGUUGCUUAGCACCAAAUUAUUUUGUAGAAAGCUUAAGCUGAUAUCUUUUUUAAAGUUUACUUUGAUAAACAUUCACAGAAAGUAGUGAUGAAUUCUUUUUUUGUUAAAACAAUUAAAUUUGGAGUUACUUUGGUUUAUCUCUUUUUAAUAGACAAAACAUAAGAGUAUAUUAGUUAUUUCUUAGAUUUCUCACAUAAAACAGAAUUGAUCUUAAUACCUAUUAUUGUUAGUAAAUUAAAAUUAGUUUAGUCUUAAUUCCUCAAUUGAUAUUAUUCUAUAAGUAAUUGUGAUAUAUAUUGUCAUAUUGAAUGAUUGUAGCCAUUAUUAUAUUUUCCUUUAUCCUAUUUCAUACAUGGCUGAAUAGGGGCAAGUUCAAAUUACUCCAAAUGGGAGUUUUUGAAGUCGAGGAAGAUGACAACGUAGAAGGAUGCAUCGUCGUUGGACUUAUUUUUAUAACAAUUCAGACUCGGAGCAUAAGGUCAUCAGUAAUGCCUCGAGAGCGAUGCAAAAUGACUUGAGGGGUCAAAGGCUGAGCGAAGGGAAGGAGAAAACAAUGAAGUUUAAGGAAUUUAAAAUGGGGUCAUGUGCUUCUAUUCUUGAACAUGUAUAUCAUUUUUAGUUAAAAGGAGUUGAAUUGUUUAUUACACAAAGAUUACUGAUUGGAUUGCGUUAGCUAUUUUAACAAACUUUCUUCGAAAACUUUAGGGUGUAGCUUUAACUAUUGUUGUCUAACGGUUCGGUUAGACCCGCUACCGGAUCGGCCCAGACCGGUUCAAACCGGAACCGGCCCGGUUCUUAAGGGAUAGGGUGAGCUGGGUAGGGGGUGGGAGGGGAUUGGACGGUUUAAAAAAAAUUACCGGUUAACCGAACCCGAUAAAAGCGGUAAGUGUGAACAGUGCGUAACCAGUUAAACCGGACCGGAACCAGCCCGGUUCAACGGUCAUAUUUUUUUAAAAAUUUUCAAAGUGGGGCCCACUAUCUGUUGGAAAUGUCAUAUUUUAUAAUUGAUCCGUUAGCCAACGGAUCUAUUGAUGAAAUAGCCUUUUUUUUUUAAAUUUAAGUUUUUAACCCGUUUUGAAUUUACAAAAUUAGCCUUUUUUAAAAUUAGAAAUAUUUCCCACCCUCUUCUUCAUUUCUUCACUCACUAUCUCAAUCUCAAUUUCUCUCAUUCUCCAAUUUGCAAAUUGCAAUACUUCAAUACAUCAGUUCAUCUUCUAAUUUUAUUCGGCUCACUUUUCUUGAAUUUAAUUUAUCGUGUUUUGUCAUUUGGAAUUUGAAGUUUGAAGUUUCAACUUUGAUCAAUUGAAGUUCAAAUUUGGAAUUCUUGCUUAACGACUUGACGUUUGUUCGUGGUAGCAUCGGAAUUGCAUAAUCAAGCGCUCAAUUCAUUGUCGAAUUCGGUGCACUCCCUCCAACUCUUCUUCUAUUUACUAUUUUAGUUGCAUAUUUUAAGUUUGUUCGUGGUAACAUCGAAAUUGCGUAAUCAAGUGUUCAAUUCAUUGUCGAAUCCGAUGUACUCCCUCCAACUCUUUCUCCUAUUUACUAUUUUAAUUGCAUAUUUAAUUUUAGCUUAUACUUUAAUUUUUACAAUAUGUUUAGUGCUGCUAAAAGAGCGUGUAAAAGAGUUACUGGUAGGGGAAUAAAAAAAGAGGUAGUUCUUCAGCAUCUGGUAGUAAUAGUAAUAACUCAUUAUCAUUUACACAUGUUUCUGAAACAUCGUCUUAUGAUAAUACAGAUAUAAAUUAUGAACAAUUACAAGAAGAUUUUGGACUAGAAGUUAAUGAAAUAGGAAUGGAAGAUGAGAUACCAGCUACACCUACUAGUGCUGGAGUUGGUAGUGUUGGAGUUGCUACAAGGGGUGGUGGUCGUGGUACUAGGAGUAGACCACCUGUGACUUCGACUACUAAUCGUAGAAAAAAAAGUAAUUUGGAACUUUUUUUGAAAUAAUAGGGGGUAUUGGUAGAGUUAAAUGCAAAAUUUGUAACAGUGAUUUUAAACAUUUGACUGGUGAAAAUUUAGGGGGGACUGGGACGCUUAGUAAACAUAUAUGGCACAACCAGAUGAUGAUGAAGGNNNNNNNNNNNNNNNNNNNNNNNNNNNNNNNNNNNNNUUCUUUAUGUUAGUACUUUGUAUUAAUAUAAACAUAUGAAAAUUGAGCAUCCCAUAGAAUGGGGCGCUGAUGGUAAUGGAAAACAAACAACUCUUAAUCCUACUGGUGGAGUUCUAGUGAAAUAUGAUAAAAUGAAGAAUCGUGAGGAGUAAGCAAAAAUAAUUGCUUUAGGUUGUCUACCUUUUUCUUUUGCUUCUUCAUCGUAUCUUAUUAUGUAUAUUCAAAGGAUUUACAAUCCUUUAUUUAAAAGUAUCCCUAGAAGUACUUGUAGAGCUAAUAUCUUAAGACUUCAUGGAAAAUAUCAAACAUGCAUACGUUAUUUGUUUAGCCACCUUCCUUGUAGAGUUUCUCUAACUUCUGAUAUUGGCCAUGUUGUUAAUAGAAAUGAUUAUUUGACAAUUACAUGCCACUGGAUAGAUAAUACUACUUGUAUACAAAAACGUAUUAUCGUUUUUAGAUAUGAUAAAGAUCAAAGUCAUACUGCCGAGUUUAUAAGUAGUACUAUUUGUGACGUUGUUAAAUUUUAUAAUCUAAAGCAAAAAGUAUUAUGUAUGUCUUUUGAUAAUGCUUCUAACAAUAAUGUCGCAAUUUCAAUAUUAAAACUGCAUUUGCAACCACCUCUUGAAGACAUUUUGCAUGUUAGUUGUGCAUGUCAUGUUUAUAAUUUAAUUGUUAAAAGUGGGCUUGAUUUAUUUUCAACUGAGAUUACUCAUAUUAGAAGAGCAAUUGGUAUUAUUCAAGGAAAUAAUAGACAAUCUAGAAUAAAGGAAUUUAAGAAUAAGUGUGUCCAGUAUAAUCUUAAACCCAGAUUCAUGCCAAACGAAAUUGUUACUAGAUGGUAUUAUACAUAUAUAUAUUUUUAAAAUAUUGCUAAAAAUAUAGAUUCCCAAUAACUGAAGUUGCUAAUGCGCAUUGUACUGAUCCAAACCAUAUGUUAACAACUAGUAUUUGGGAGGUCAUUAAUGAUGUUGUUAAAUUUUACAGAAAUUUUAUACAGCUACUGUUGAAUUUUCUGGAGCAUAUUACCCUACUGUUACUAUGGCUACAUAUAGCUGAAAUUUCUUUUCUACUCUUUGAAUUUAAGAAGAAAGAAAAAUAUAAGGAUGCAUAUAGCUGAAAUUUCUUUUCUACUCUUUGAAUUUAAGAAGUAAGAAAAAUAUAAGGAUGUUAUUGAAAAAAUGCAAGCAAAAUUCAAAAAAUACUUCUUUCCAAUUCCUCCGAUUUACUUAAUUGGCGUUUUUUUAAAUCCUUCUACUAAGAUGUCUAAUUGUCACCAGUUAAUGAAUGCUUUACAUACUUAUAUGGAGAUUGGACCAACUGAAACCCCAUAUUUAUAUGUUUCUAUGAACAAGCUAAAUGAUUAUUUACAAUAGUUAUAUAAUUAUUAUGCAAAUGUAAUUGAUGAUGAUGUUCGUGCUGUAGACAAUGUUAAUCCCACUGUGCAUUGUACCACUUCUGCUACUGUGUAUGAUGAAGAAGGCCUUGAUAGCUUUGAUAUUUUUUUUACAUUUUCUAAUACUCAUACCAGUAGCAGGAACAUUGAUGAACUUCAAUUCUACUUGCAUAAGUAAAAAGAGUCUCGCACAAAGGAAUUUUUACCGUUGGGAUGGUGGCAUGAGAUUGGAAAGCAAUUUCAUGUUCUUUUUUCUAUGGCUUGGGACGUGCUGAAUGUGCCAAUUUCUACUGUUGCAUCAAGAGUGCAUUUAGCCAAGCAAGACAACAACUUGGAGACACCCGUCACUCAUUGGGAAGCAAUGCUUUGGAAGUCUUAGUAAGUUUAAGAGAUUGGAUUGGAUCGGAACGAAGAGUUCAAGGACGUAAAGAUGUUAAUAGCCCAGAAGACGAGGAACUUGGAGAUAUAUCAUGGUAACCCAUCCGAAUUUAACACUCCAGAAGAAGGUCAAUCAGUUCAUAUUGAUUAUGAANNNNNNNNNNNNNNNNNNNNNNNNNNNNNNNNNNNNNNNNNNNNNNNNNNNNNNNNNNNNNNNNNNNNNNNNNNNNNNNNNNNNAUGUUGAUAGCCCAGAAGAUGAGGAACUUGGAGAUAUAUUAACACAUGGUAACCCAUCCGAAUUUAACACUCCAGAAGAAGGUCAAUCAGUUCAUAUUGUUUAUGAAGAACUUGCAAAGGCAAUGCAAAACCUUUGAAUUUACUUGUUGUUAAAAAUGUAAACCUUUUAAUUUGUAAGUUUGAAAUUUUGAAUUAUGAAAUAAAUGUAGCACUUGCAAUAAGUGCAAUUUUUUCCAUCUUCCUUAUAUUCUUUAUGUUAGUACUUUGUAUUAAUAUAACUUACAAUAUUUAUACUAAACCCGGCCCGGCCCAACCCACUCAAUCUGUAACCCGUACGGUUCAAUUUUUACCCGUAUAAACCCAAACCCGUUAAGGUACAACCCGAAACCGGCCCGGCCCGUAACCCAUACGGGCCAAAAAACAAUUAACCCAGCCCGGACCAUUAGGCUCGUUAGACACCUAUAGCUUUAACUGAUAUUUAUCAUGAUAUUUGGUCUAGUGCACAUAUUAGCGUAUAUUUACUAGAGUUAAUAUUCAAUUGGUAUAUGUAUAUCCUAGCAAACAUGUAAAUUAUCAUUAUGUGCUUAUUUUAAUGAAGUUUGAAUUAUUUGUUAUAUGUCUCACUAGUCACAUAUAUUAUCUAUUAUUUUAUUUUGUAAUAGAUUGAGACAUUAGAUGAAGCAUACACCAAUAAAUAAUUUUAAUAUUAAUAAAAAAUAGAUAUAGAUGAUGAAUGAAAACGUAAUGAUCUUUCGAUUCUAUAUUAAAUGUAGAAUUAAUAUUAUAAUUAAUUUUCUUGAAUGUAAUUACAUGCAUAAGUUGAUUGAAGUAUAUAUUGAUGAGUAUCACUGUAAUAUUGUAUCUAACAACAGACAUGGCAUCGAAAAGUAUCAUUGCUGACUUAAACAAGAAUGACAAACUUAAUGCUGAAACUUACGACAUCUGGAGUUUUAAGAUGUGGUAUGUAUAUGAAGAACAAUAAUCUCUUAAAAGUAUUAACCAUGUUAUGAGUUACCCAAAGGAGGAUAAAACUGCCCAACACAGGAGGGAUUUGGAAACUUAAAAGAUUCCAGCGCACUUGGAGUUACUGUUCAGUUGCUGAUGAUGUCAUUCAUGAAUGUGAGCAAUAUCCUACUGCUCAAUUCAUGUGUGCACAUUUAAGAGAGGCAUAUGACAGUACAACUUUGACUCACCUUAAAAAUCUGACAAUCAAGUUUGGCACAUACAAAAAGCAUCACAAUCGCAGUGUCAAGUAACAUCUAACAGUAAUUUCAAAUAUGAUUGCUCAACUCAAAAGUGUUGUUCAUGUUCUCUCUGAUGAGCAGCAAGUAUAGUCACAGAUUCGGUCUCUUACCAGUUAUUGGGAACAUCUCAAGGUUAAGUUGACCCAUAAUGAGAGCAUCAAAACUUUUGUUGUUAUUGCCCAUCAUAUGGAGCUUGAGGACGAGCGACCUGGUGCUGCUAAGUUGUACCUAGUGCCUUUGUGGCAGAAUCAAGUAGUACAAAGAGUUCAAGCUUCAAGUGCAAGAGAAACUAGAAAAUAACGUGAAGGGUAAGGAGACCAGAGAAGGAUCCUCCAAAAAAAGAAACAAGCCAAAUUCCAAGAAAGAGAGACGGUUCUAUAAGAAAAAAGACAAUAGAAAAAUGAAGUGGUACAGUUGCCAAGUUUCAGGGCAUUUUGCUCAUGAGUGCACUGAGCCAAAAAAAGUAGCAUUUCGAAAGGCAUCUCUAAGUAAUACACACAUACACAUAUAUAUUGCUUGCACUGUUUUAAUAACUAAAUCUUAUCCUGUGUGGAGUGUUGACUUAGAGGCCACCGAUCAUGUAAAUCGUACUAGAGAAGUGUUUAUAGAGUUUAAUUGAGUUUUGCCUUGAUCAAGACAUGUAUAUGUCGGAAAUAAUGCAAAGCUUGAAGUCAAAUGGAUAGGACUUGCAGAAUGGACAUGUGUAGUGGCUGAUCUUUUAUGUCGCAUGACGUCUUAUAUGUUCCAGAGAUUCGACAAAACUUAGUCUCUGUGUCUAUUCUUCCAGAUUUAUAUUUCAAUUUGACUUUAGUCGUAAUGGUGUUAGAAUUACUCUAGACAAUAUUUUUUAUAGUUUUGGACGUCGUAUGAUAAUUUUAUUGUGUUAGAUUGUAAUCCUUUUACGUAUAACUAUUAUGUCGAAUGCUAUGUUAUGACAUAGUUUUCUAGUAAUAAUGGUGUUGAUGCUAUUACAUGACAUGCAAGAUUAGGCCGCAUAAGGUAGGAUCAAAUGAAUAGAUUGGGUAAGGAGGGACAUUUAGGUUCUUUCUCUAAAGCUGAAAUGCCAACACAUGAAAAUUGUCUGUCUGAAUAGCUUAUACUUAAACAAUCUGAAAAGGCUAAGAGAGUUGAUCUUCAUUGCAAUUAAUCCAUUCUGAUAUAUAUAGUCCAAUGAAUAUGAGGGCUAGGUCUGGUGCUUUAUAUUUCAUUAUAUUUAUUGACGAUUUCAUGCGCUUUGGCUAUGUCUAUUUGGUUUCUUAUAAAUUGAAGCAUUUGAAUUUUUUAAGAAAUAUUUGAAUGAAGUUGAGAAUUAAUUAGAAAAAAAGAUUUAAGACGUUAAGGACCAUUAGAGGGCGUGAAUAUCUAUCAAAAUAAUUUGAUGAAUUAUGGUACGAAAAAGGGCAUCACCAGAAAUUAACUAUUCCUUAAAUACCUCCAUAAAAUAGUGUAUUAGAAAGGAAUAAUAUAAUAUUAUUAGAAAAGGUAAGGUCCGUGAUGGCUCAAACAAAUUUACCCAUCUCUUUUUGGGGAGAUGUGUUAUUGAUUGUAGUAUGCAUAUUAAAGAAAGUGCCUUCUAAAUCAGUUCCUUCCAUUCUUUAUAAGGUUUCGGCUGGUCAUAGAACAAACUUAAAUGAUUUAUAAUCUUGGGGCCGUGAUGAAAAUAUAAAAAAAUCUUUUAGCAAGUUUAGUAAAUAAGGUCCAAAAGGCAAAAAAAAUAUCUUUAUAACAUAUUCAGAACACUCCUAAAGGUAUGUGUUCAUUGAUGAAUUAGAGGAUAGAAAUGUUACUGAAAUUAAAUCACGAUAUGUAACAUUUCUAAAAAAUAAUUUUCCAAAAAAGGGCGAGGUAAAGAAUGGAGAUCUUCUUUAUAAAAUGUUGAACUCAGAUGGUCAUCAAGUAUCUUCAGACACAGUUGAUAAUCAGAUUGAUCGGUUCUUGUUCUUGAUCCAAGUAAGAGUUGGAAUUCUCAAUCCUAAACUGCUUCUGACGAACCUUAAUUUCAACUACGAAAGAUUGCCAGGAAAAUGUACCCAAACACACUUAUGAGAUUGAAUAUUACAUUUUCUUGGUAUCUCCCACAUAAAUGGAUGAGCCAAAGCCUGUAGCUGAGGUUUCAUCGAGCCCUAGAAGAUAUGAGUGGAUGAAAGCAAUGAAACAAGAAUUAGAGUCCAUGAAAAUAAACUAAGUCUAGGAUCUAGUUUACUUUUCCCUAGGACAUAAAGCUAUUGUGAACAAAUUGGUUUUCAAAGUUACUUUCAAUGAGGAUGGGCCAAUAGAAGAAACAAGGCACGAUUGGUGGCAAAAAGCUUUACUCAAAAAGCUGGAUUAUAUUAUGAAGAAAUAUUUUUACUAAUUUUGAAAUUUACCUCAAGUGUCUUACUUUUGGCUAUUGUUGCAUGUUUGAAUUUGGAGUUACAUCAAAUGGACGUGAAAAAAGCUUUUCUCCAUGGAGAACUAAAUAAGAAAACUACAAGAAAAACAUGUAGACUUCAUCAUUAAAGGCAAGAAAAUAAGGUUUUUUGAAAUUGAAAAGAUCUAUUUGUGGCCUGAAGCAAACUUCAAGGCAGUGGUAUUUGAGAAUUCACAAGAGGUGCUCUCAUAUGAUUUCACCAUGAUCAAUGAAGAGCAUUGCAUUUAUGUGAAGAAGUUCAAUGGGAUAUUUAUAAUUCUUUCUCUUUAUGUAGACAAUAUUUUAUUGGCCGAAAUAAUUUGGAGUAUUUGAAAACUAUCAAUUCAUGGCUUUCAAUAUCAUUUGACAUGAAAGAUAUGGGUGAUGUAGACUGUGUACUUAGAGUUAAUAUCCGAAGAGAUUGUUCCAAAAAGUUAUUGAGUCUAUCUCAAGAAACUUAUAUAAAGAAAAAUUUGGAGCAUUUUUGCAUGAAUAGUUACAAAUACAUAUAUACUCCAAUAGCAAGAGUUAAAACUUUAAGCCUUAAAAUAUGUCAAAAGAUUGAAAAUAAAAAAGAAGACGUGUCUCGAGUUCUGUAUUCAAAUGUUGUCAUGAGCUUGAUGUAUGCUAUGAUAUGUACUUGUCUGGGCAUUAGUUAUGCCAUAGGCUUGGUUAGCAGGUAACAAUCCAAUCCUGAAAAAGAUCAUUGGGAAGUUGUAAAUACAAUUUUCAAAUACCUGAAGGGAACUGCUAAUUAUUCACUAUGUUAUAAUAUAAAUAAUUUAUACUUGAGAGGAUAUACAGAUGAUGAUUGGGCUGGUCACUAAAUGAUAGAGAAAUCAAUAUCCAGUUAUGCUUUCUCACUUAGUGGUAGUGUUAUUCGUGAAAAAUUAAGAAACAAACUUGUAUAACCCUUUCGACGAUGGAAGCUAAGUCUAUGACUUGUGCGUCUGAAAUACAAGAAGUUGUUUAGUUAAAUGAAUUCUUUGAGCAUUUGGAUAUUAUAAAGAACUCUCGGGGUCCCAUGAAUCAAUAUUGUGAUAGUCAAGUGGCUAUUGCAUACACAAAAGAUCCUAAGUAUCACGGCAGGAAAAAACACAUUGACAUCAAGUAUAACUUUGUGAGAGAUAUGACAGCAAGUGGAUAGUAAAUUUACACUACAUUCCUACGCAAAUCAUGUAUCACAAUCCAAAAUUCAUUAAAGAUCGUGAUGGCACCGGAUACCACCGUCGGGCAAGCUAACACCAAGAAGUUAAUUAAAUUCUCAUUUUAGCAUUUUUUAAAUCAUUCCUUUCAUUACAUUAAACAAUAAAAAAUGAACUUUACUGUGUAAUAGUGAUGUCCUUAACAGAUUUUAAUACUAAAUGAUCCCGUAGUCAUCCCAGAACCCGGUGUUAUAAGUGAAUGAGAAAUUUUUAGGAAAAACAAAAUGUAGUACAAUAACUGCUCGGAAUACAAGUGAGACAAAAAGAAAAAAUAGAAUACUCUGAAUGAGAAUCUACUGGCUACUGUUCGCCUCGAGAGAUGCAGCUCACCUGAGUCUCCGUAUCAACCAUGACGUUGCACCCAACUAGGCCACUAGACAUAUAUGUACCUAUGUAACAAAAUGUAGAGUAAGUGUAGCAUGAGUACAAAACAACGCGUACCCAGUAAGUAUCCAUCCUAACCUCGAAGAAGUAGUUACGAGAGGUCGACUUAAACACUUACUAGUGGUCAAAUAAUAUCAGAUACAUUAAAGAAGUGAAUAAAUAUGAAAUAAGCUAGCAUAAAAUACGAGGUACAAUUCCCUUCUCUACAAUUUACUAAACUCUCAACUAGCAAGUGCCACCGAUAACGGAGCUUAUUUAUAGAUACAGUGGAUUUCAUCAAAAAGGUUGUCAUAAUUUAAAUCAAGAAAAACAUCCUCAGAUACAUUAGCUUCUUGCUAAAUAUUACGCACGAUUCCAUGAGGAUAACAUAUAUAGAAAAUGUCGAGGCAUACAGCUUGAUCCAAUAUAAAAGUAAAUUGUACACUGUCGAGGGUCGAAUGACGCAAAUCAUAGAUGCAUCUAUUAACAUGCCGAGGCGAAUUGCCCGCUACCAUGAGAGUGGGGUACUUGAUUCCUACCGAGGCGAAUUGCUCGAUCCCAUAAGAGUAGUAGAAGGAAAUACCCUGCUCGCAAAUCAAAUAUGCGACGCGGUCAUACAUAAAUUUAAGGAAUCACCCCGCUAGCGGAUCAAACUUGUGACACAGUCAAAUAGAAGUUUAACAUUUAAAUCAUAUCUCUUUCUUAAUUCUUUAAAAAGAAAUAAGGGAAUUCAGCUUGUAGUUUUUUAAGGAAAUUACCUCGCUCGCGAACAAUAUAUGAAACACGGUUACACAUAGAUUUCUUAAGCUAUUAUAACAUUUCUCUAUUCUUUUCUAAAAUACGAAGUUCAAACGAAAACUUUUAAAUCUUAUAUUCUUCAAUUUCACUCAUUUCAAUACAUUUAAUAAGCAAACUCCAUCUCGAUACCUCUCAAGGCAAGCAUUAAAUAUAAAUUAAUAACAAUAUCUACAAGGCAUGAUGUAAGUCUAAAAUUAUCCGGAUAUAGGCGUAGCUAGUAGCUACAUACGAACUCUCAUCACCUCAUGCGUAUGUAUCACCCACACAUAAAAGAACAAAAUAAUUUACACCUAAGGGAUUAAUGCCAUCUUACAAGGUUAGAAAGAAGACUUACCUUGCUCCGAAGUUUCAUAACCGAUUUCCAAGCCCUUCCGACAACUCAACCCCAUGCUCGACGCUCGAAAACUAACCAAUAAUUUUCCAAACCCAUAAAUGUAUAUUCAAUUACUCAUAAAAAUUUAGUUUAUAGUAAUUUCUAACCCCAAUCGAAAAUUCAAUAAAAAUCGCCCUCAGGCCCACGUGCCCGGAUUUAAAAAAAUUUCGAAGAUAAAGUUUACCCAUAACCUCACGAACUCAAAUAUAUCAUUAUUCCCAAUUUCAUACCCAAAUUCGUGGUAACAAUCCAAAAACAUCGAAUCUUAGGUUUCCUGCCAAAUCUCAUAAUUUCCCACUAAUUUCCAUGCUCAACUUCGUAUAUAUUCAUGUAUUUAACUCAAAACUAGUAUGAAUCACGUACCUCAUGUUUGGUGAUGAAAAUGACACUCUCAAGUUGCUCCAAGAUUGGCUCCCAUAGAGGAAAUAUGGUAAAAAUGAGCUAAACCCUCAUUUUAAAAGAACACACUGCUUCCAGUUUUCCGCACAUGCGGUCAGUUGACCAUUUCUGUGGUUCUGUAGGUGCGGCCCCACUAGCACAUUUGCAGUUCUUCACCAGCCCCCUCAAUUUGCUUGUGCACUUCUCCUCUUUCAAGUGCGGUCCCGGUUCUAUGGCAAGAAGACCGCAUUUGCAGUCCCAGUUUUUCCCUUAUCAACCGUAUCUACACUCUUUUGGCUGCUUUUGCGGCUCCGCACCUGCGACCAAGACUUUGCAGGUGCAGGUACACUAGAUAAUAAUAGGCUUCAACUCUUCCUCCCAACUCCAAUUCGAUCCAUUAACCACCUGAAAUCCACCCGGAGCCCCCAGGACCACAUCCAAUCACACCUACCAUUCCCACAACAAAAAGCGGACCUGCUCGAGGCCUCAAAUUGUAUCAAACAAUGCAAAAACCAUGAAUCACAUUCCAUUUCAAACUUGAUGAAUUUUAGAACUUUGAACUUCUUCAUUUAAUGCUGAAACUUGUCAAAUCACAUCCGAUUGACCUCAACUUUUGCACACAAGUCAAAUUUGACAUUACGGACCUACUCCACCUUCCGGAAUCGGAAUAUGACCAAAAUAUAAAAAAGUCCACUUCCGGCCAAACUUUCCAAAAAUCUUCAAAUUUCUAACUUUGGCCAAAUGACUCCAAAAUGACUUACAAGCCUCCGAAUCUACUUUCGGACUCGCCCCCAAAACAAGAAUCACCAUACAGAGCUAUUCCCAGUCUCUGAAUCCCAAACAGACAUUGAUAACAUUGAAAUGUACUUCAACCCAAGCUUAUGAAAUUCUUCCAAAAAUGCUAACUUCCACAAUAGAUGCUGAAAUGCUCCUGGGUCAUCCAAAAUUCGAUCUGAACAUACUUCCAAGUCCAAAAUUACCAUACGAACCUGCUAAAACCUUUAAAUCCCGAUUCUUAGGUCGUUUGCUCAAAAAUCAAAUCUUAGCCAAUUCUUCCAACUUAAAGCUUUCGAAAUGAAAAUUAUCUUUCCAAAUCAUAUUUGAACUUCCCAGAAUUUCAAUUCCGACCAUGCGUACAAGUCAUAAUACUUUAAGUGAAGUUUCUCAUGGCCUCAAAUCUACGGAACAACAUGUAGAGCUCAAAACAACCGAUCGGGUCGUUACAUUAUGAUAGCUGAUCUUUUUAGAAAGGUGAUAACUAGAGACCUGUUUGAGAAAUAUGUUAUGGCUCUAGGUUUGUGAAGGAUAAGAACAUAUUUAUAUAAUGUAAAAUGACUUGACUAGUAUAAUAUGCUCAUCAAUAUUGGUCUUUAAUAUGCUUAAAUCUCGUAUCCAUGUGAUGAUGUUUUGUUGAUAAAAUAUGUCGAACAAGUCGCGAGAUUGGCUCUCUCACACGAACAAUUGCAUCUUACGUUGAGAAUCUUGAAGAGAUGAGACUUUAUAGAACCUUGAAUAGUGAGAGGUUAUAUUUUCCUUGUAAAGGUCAGUCUUGACAACUAGUCAAAAUUACAAUUCCACUAGUCGAUUAUGGCUUAUUUUGUAAAUGGGAUGUGAGUUUCUCUAAGAAGUAGAAUUUGAGGAUUAUUAAAGGGAAAAAUUCGGGUUAGAUAUCUGGAGGUGUCUAGACCAUGAUAUGUAUGAUGUUAGAUGAGAAAAAAAUAAUAUUGAGACGCACGCGCCAAUAUAAUGCAAGAGUACUAUAGCACGUGUUUCAUACCACAUGGGCUUAGUGACCAGUGGGUUUAUGAAAGAACGGAUCCCUACUUCUUUAUUGUGUGAGACCUACAAAGUCAAAAUUGAAUUUCUAGGUAAAUUAAUAAUCCUCAGAAUGCUAGGGUUAACAUUUUUCUUGCUCGAGAAACAGAGGCAACAACUAUUCAAGCAGGGCAAUGAAAAUUCUAGGGUUCUUCAUAACUCACUUAUUUUUUUUACUCAGGUAUAUGAAACUCCCUAUUCUAAAUUACCCUACAGCAGUAAUAGGUAAGUGUUGAAUCGUUAAUUCCCUUCUUUCUCCAUAUCAAUAAUAGAUUUCAUGCUUAGGUAUGAAACUUUAAGAUUGAUUAAAAUACAUUAGUUACUGUAGUAUCGAUUGUUUGACUGGUGUCAAUUAGACUGGGGCCUAUGUAUUGGCUCGAGAAGUUUUGAAAUGAGUUGAUAUAACCCUUUACCAAAGUGGUUUAACUCACAAAAGUAUGCAUACAAGGUGUUUAAUGAAUUUACUAAAAGAGUGAAUAUGUACUUAAUUGAAGUGAGUGAGUUCUUAUUAGCUUAGAAUUGUUUUAGUUAAAGUUAGAUGAUUUAUUUUGAUAUAUGUACAUAAAUUUUCACAUUUUUGUGUUAUUCGUAUAUGCCAUUUUCAUGUUGAAAAUUCAUGAAAAAGCAAGAAUAUUUAAAAAUAAUUUUGAAUGUUUAUUUCAUUCUUAUGCCAUACCUUACAUUUCAAAAUUCUAGAAUAAGUAUGUUUGAAAGAUUUAGACUUGAAAAUCAUAGGAAUAAGUUUUAAAAAGAAAAGAUUUUUGGGAGUAUCCUACAUUCUGAAAAGGGGUCAUCGUCCAAGCUGCGGGUCCUGACCAAGGCGUUGACUUCCUGAAACUACUUGGGCCAAUUUAGGGAGCUUACGACUCGAGAGUCUCGUUGCUAAGAAUUCCCUUAGCCAGGCUAAGGUCUGAUAUAUGAGCGUUAAGAACUACGAAGCGAGUGGCACCUCGUAGAUUGGGCCUAUUCGAUCAGGUUGGGAUCAAACCUGUGGCGAUCACACAGUGACUAAGACAGAAAUAGGUUAGAAUAGUUGGAACUAACAAAGUAUAAAGAGAAGUAUUUUUUUGAAAAAGAAAAGAAUUUCGUGUAGAAUAUUCAUAAACUGCUGUUAUGCAAUUCUUUUAGAAUUGUUCAUAGAAGCUUUAUAUUUUCUAUGCAUUUAGAUUCUUUUCUCAUAAUGUGUAUUAUAUUAAAUUGUCAUCCCAUGUCGUUGAGACUCACUGAGUACAACGGAUUGUACUGAUGUUCUCUUUUGAAAAGAUACGUUUGUCUGCGAUACAAUGUGAGAACCGAUUCUACAGGCAAGCAGGCUACAGUUUAGGACUUCCCUUCCUUCCAGUAUAUUGGUAAGCUCCACUUUUGUUCGUGGAGUAUUCCUUAGAGUCAUCUUUAGUUAGCUAUUUCUUUGUUUACUUAGAGAACUGGAUGGGAAUCUUAUGUCCUGAGCAGUGCAUCAGUUUAUCAGUAGAGGCUUCAUAGACGUAGUCGGUGGAUUAAGAUACAGACAUUUUUUGAUAAUAACUUAGAAGUAUUUCAUUAUUUUUUUUACGAAUAAUGUUUUGGAGUUGGUUUAUUUUAGAUAUUUAUAUUAAUUAAAAGUAUUUGGUAAUAGUAUUAACUUAUUACAUAUAAAGUUUGAGGUUAUAAUAGAUUUGAUAAGUGCAGAUGGUUCACUCGAUCAUGUUUAGUGAUCGAGUGCUGGUCCCAGCUUGUUUAGAAAAUGGGUCGUGACAAACUUGGUAUCAGAACCUCAGGUUUAUGGAGUCCUAGGGGUCUAUGAAGCCGUUUUAGUAGAGUCUUGUUUAUAGGUAUGAAGAGCGCCAUACGUAUAAAUAAGAGGAUAUAAGCAUUUAGGAAAAGUCUCAUUUUUUUCAUACUUUACAUCGUGCAGUAGAACCUACCCCUAAGAAAUUAUCUAAUCUAUCCGUUUCUCCAAAACUCGUAGAAACGGCUGGUACUCGUAACUCUAAAACCAACACUCAGGAUGUUGCUCAAGAAACUAUUGCUACUAUUAUGGCUCAAGGAAAAACUAAAAAGGUUUCAACUAAGAAAAGAAAGGGUAAAUCCGCAAAAGGGGUUCAAGUACCCGGGGUUGAACAGGAAGCAGGGGUGGAGUAUGAUGAUCCAGUACCAUAGGAUCCGGUGCUUCCCCCAAUAGUAGCUCUGGCUCAGACAACUAUAUCUCCAGAGGUGGGUGAUCGCUGCAAACUCCACACUACCAAAGAGUGGCAAGAGAGGGCAGCAAUAGCUUUUACCCGAUUUUGGGUCGGGAUCGAAUAUACAGAGAGCUAGGAUUGGAGUUACGUAUCUAUCUAGCUUAGAAUUGUGAGUGUGUUCUUAAUUGAUCUUCUCAUCAUUUUUGGGUUUACUUUAACAAUCUAUUAUGAUCAACUACUAAUUAUGAUAAGUGAAAAUUUGCAAAGAGUUGUAUCUAAUAUUUGUAAAGGUACUAGGGUAGUGACUUUCACGUAGGUGGAUAAUUGAUGGAUAAUUGCUUCUAAGGCAUGUUUGACGUGUUGGGAAAAUAUGGUAUAACCGUUGCACAAUUUUACCCACUCUCACACCUCUCGGUAGAGAGAGUGAAUUUGCCCAAUUGGCUUUCUCAAGGCCAAAUGGGUAGGCAAAUUUUCUCAAGCAACUAGGAUUCAAGUCGGGUAGUUACUCUUUCAAGGUUUAACCCUUUAAUUGGGACUAUAAAUUCUUUUGAGUCCAUCCCAAUUCCUUGUUGGGUCAAUUUUGGAGACUUCGGCUCUCUUUCUCAAGAAGAGCUAAGUCGACUUAGCAUAAACCAGUGUUUGCAACCACCAAUUCAUAAAUUAAACCAUAGAAGUGACCCAAAUAACAAAUACCCAUAGUCAAUCUAGCCUUAAAUUGCAACACCUAUCAAUUUCCCACACUAAGGUUGAGCCACAACCAUAGAUAAUGGGUUUAGCUACUCAUGCUUGAGUAAGAAAAUAGAGAAAUAGAUGAAGAACAAGACAUAUUAAUUAAUUACUAAAGUAAAAUACAAGAAUCUAUCAUUAGAACCAAGUGAAAAUGCCAAAAAUGGCUACAGAUGAAGUUCCCACGAGCGCCACUAUAUUCUAGAGUUCAUAGAUAACCUAAGAAUGGCAAAAUGUUCUAAAGCUAGAAAAACUGGAUAAAAAUACCCUUGUGGGGUCAGUGCGGUCCGCGUAAAAUGGACCACGGCCGCAUUAGGCUCUUAGAAUUCAAAUCUUGGCUUUCUGAACUUGGGCUCCCCGGACAGCAUAUAAUUGACCGCGGCUGCAAAGGUCUCAAAUGCGGUCCGCACAAAUAUGACCGCGGACCAUGCAGCUUGAGUCAUGGAAAUUUUCACCUCUCCGAAACUCUUUUCACGGACCGCACAAAAUGGUAGUGCGGCCGCGGAACCUUCAGUGCAGACUGCAUAAUAUUGAAUACGACCACACUACCUUGAAGCCCAAAUUUUCCAACUCUCUAAAUCACCUAAUGCGUACCGCACAAAUUCGAAUGCGGCCGCACUAGGCUUGUUUGCCCUCAGUUUGCCUUGUCUUUGAUACUUGAGCAGGUCUCACUCCUUUUGAGCCGAUCUUUGACAUUUCGUCACUUUGUCGAUCAAACCUGCUAUCAAGCACAAUUUAUGAGCUUUUUGGGACUAUUUUGUAACAAUGUAUAAUCAAAGCAUAAGCAAGAAGGAGCAUGAAACACGUUAAAAUCCCUAGUUAACAGUGGGUCAGAUGUUUAUUGCAGUCAACAGUGCUAUGGAGAUGUUUAAAGCCUUCAUGGCCAACCAGAAUGAGAGAAGAGAUGAGAUUCCACCUCAAUCAAAUAGACAGAACAAUUCUGAGUUCAAGAGUGAAUGAAUUUUUGAAGUUGAGUCCUCUAGUGUUCCAUGGUUAUAUAGUUGAUGAAGAUCCAAUGCUGUGGUUGGAGGGUGUUAAGAAAGCCCCUCCGAGCGAUGAAAGCAUUUGAUGAUAAAGCAGUGGAGUUGGUUGUUUACCAUCUUAGAGAUGUCGUUGGCACUUGGUUUGAAAUGUGGGAAAAGGUAAAAGAUGAAGAUGAUGGUCCUCCUACUUGGGAAGAAUUUAAAGAGGCCUUCAUGGCUAAAUAUCCCUAAAGAGGAUAGGGAAGCUAAGUCUAUAGAGUUCGAACAUUUCGAGAAAGGGAAUAAAAGUGUACAAGAGUACUACAUAGAAUUCAUAAGGUUAGCUAAGCAUGCUCCUCACAUGGUUAAGACAGAAAAACAAAGAUUCGCAGGUUUGUUGGCGGUUUGGCUUACCACAUUAAGGAUACGACAUGAGCUGCGGCGAUAGGAAUGACAGCUUUCUCAUCUGUUGUAAAAGAUUCGCAGGUUUGUUGGUGGUUUAGCUUACUAUAUUAAGGAUACGACAGCAGCUGCAGUGGUAGAGAUGACAGCCUUCUCCUCUGUUGUGGGAUAAGCCAAGCACUUAGAAAAAGACAAACAAUAAAUGGGAGAAGAAAAAGAUCAUAGCAAGAAAGCUUGGACAGCGGGCAUGUUUAAUGGUACAUCCAGCGGAGGCAGAAGGGAUUCCUCUAAUAAGGGGUCAUUAGCACAAGCUCAGUUCAAUCAUCAGUCAGGUGGUGGGUCUUCCUUUAGACGUACUCAGAGUUAUGGAAAGUAGUCUCGCCAAAAUCAUAAAUUUAGGACACCAUCCUUACAUGGCCAAAGUCAUGUUGAGCAACAUUCAAACCAACAGGGUCUUUGUGGAACCUGAAAGCAGCAACAUUCAGAUCAAUGCAAGUUCGGGUUUCAUGGUUUCUAUCAUUAUGGAGACAUUGGUCAUAUAAAGUCCAACUGCCAAAAGUUUCAAUGUAAUUUCAGUGAUGGAUCAACUCGUCCUUCUAGUUCCUCAUCUACUGCAGUUGCACCACCUCAGGCUCGUGGUUCUCAUAAUCAAACCGGGAAUGGGGCAGGCAGAGAUCCAGAUCGAGUUACUCAGGGAGAGGGACAACCCCGUUUGUUUUCUAAACUUGAUCGUCAGAGUGCAAAGGCAUCUGCAGAAGUUAUUACAGGAACACGUUUAGUCUGCUCACAUAAUGCUUAUGCCAUAAUGGAUCUAGGUUCAACAUUUUCAUAUAUGACUCCAUACUUUGCAAUUAAUCUCGAGCUAGAACAUGAACAACUUAGUGAGACAUUCCUACUAUCUACACCAGUUUGUGAGUCAAUGAAAGUCACAAAAGUCUAUAGAGGUUAUAUAGUUUCAGUCAAGGUCUCAACACCAAGGUCGGUCUCAUAGAAUUAGAAAUGGUGGAUUUCAAUGUGAGCAUGGGUAUAGAUUGGUUGUCUUCCUACUAUACCAUGUUAGAUUGUCAUGCCAAGAUAGUCAGGUUCUGAUUUCCAAAUGAAGAAGUCUUAGAAUAGAAGGGUAGUUCAACAUCGCUUGUAGGUAAGUUUAUUUCUUACCUUAGGGCAAAACGAAUGAUCGGUAAGGGGUGUCUCGCUUAUUUGGCUCACAUUAUUAAUCCAGAAUCAAAACAACUAGCUCUUUAGUCUGUGCCAUUUAUUAGAUAGUUUCCAGAAGUUUUCCCAGAUGACCCUCUCGGGCUUCCUCCUGAAAGAAUCAUAGACUUUGGCAUUGAUCUCAUGCCAAGCACCCAACCCAUAUCUAUACUUCCUUAUAGGAUGGAUCCAACACAACUUCAUUAGUUGAAAGAACAGUUGAAAGACCUUCUUGACAAGGACUUCAUCAGGCCGAGUGUUUUACCAUGGGCUGCCUUGGUCUUGUUUGUCAAGAAGAAAGAUGGGUCUCUUAGAAUGUGUGUCGACUAUAGACAGUUGAAUAAAGUCACCAUUAAGAACAAGUACCCACUGCCAAGAAUUGAUGAUUUAUUUGAUCAACUUCAGGGUGCAAAGUACUUUUCAAAAAUAGAUUUGAGGUCCAGGUACCAUCAGUUGAGAAUCAGAGAAGAAGAUAAUCUAAAAUAGCCUUUAUAUCUUGCUAUGGGCACUAUGAAUUUCUAGUAAUAUCCUUCGGAUUGACAAAUGCUCCAACUGCAUUCAUGGACCUCAUGAACAGAAUUUUCAAGCCAUUCAUGGAUAACUUUAUUAUCGUGUUUAUAGACGAUACUUUGGUAUACUCUAAGAGCAAGGAUGAGCAUGUUAAAUAUGUCAGGAUAGCCUUGCAAACCUUAAAGAAGGAUGAGAUUUAUGCCAAAUUUUCAAAAUGUGAGUUCUGGUUGCAGUUAGUGGCAUUCUUAGGCCACGUGGUAUCUAGUGAAGGAAUAAAAGUAGACUCUCAGAAGACAGAAGCAGUCAAGAACUGGCCUAGGCCAACAACGCCAACCGAAAUUAGGAGUUUCUUGAGGUUAGAUGGACACUAUAGAAGGUUUGUAGACAUAAAAGUUGACCCUCAGAAGACAGAAGCAGUCAAGAACUGGCAUAGGCCGACAAUGCCAAUCGAAAUGAGGAGUUUCUUGGGGUUAGCGGGCUACUAUAGAAGGUUUGUAGAGGGGUUUUCCUCACUAGCAACUCCAUUAACUAAGUUGACUCAGAAAACGGUUAAGUUUCAGUGGUCAGACGCUUGUGAAGGUAGAGUUUUCAAGAGUUAAAGAAGAGGUUGACCACUGCACCUGUGUUAACCUUGCCGACAGGUUUUUGUGGGUUCACUGUGUAUUAUGAUGCCUCUAGAGUGGGUCUCGCUUGUGUUCUUAUGCAAAAUGGAAAAGUUAUUGCUUAUACUUCCAUGCAGUUAAAGAAUCAUGAAAAGAACUACCCCACAUACGAUUUGGAGCUUGAAACAGUGGUGUUUGCAUUAAAGAUAUGGUGACACUACCUUUUGUGGAGAGUAUUCUGAAGUGUUUACAUAUCAUAAAAGCCUCUAGUACAUUUUCAAGAAAAAGGAAUUAAAUCUGAUACAGAGAAGGUGGCUCGAGCUAUUGAACGAUUAUGAUUUCAAUAUUCUUUAUCACCCGAGCAAAGCUAAUGUGGUAGAAGAUGCACUUAGUAGGAAGUCAAUGGGUGUAUUGAACCAUCUUGCAGUACAAAGGCGAACUUAGGGUCGAGAAGUUCAAAAUCUAGAAAAUGAUGGAAUUAGAUUGGAUGAGACCGAAGAAGGAGGUAUAAUUGCUUAUGCCUUAGUGAAAUCCUCUAUAGUUGCACAUGUUAAGGCUAAGAAAGAUGAAUAUCCGUACUUAGUGAAGUUAAAAGAAGGAGUUUGAAUCAAAGAAAUCAUUGCUUUCAUUUUAGGAAGUGAUAGAGUUUUGAAGUUGAAUGAUCGGUUAUGUGUCCCUGAUGUAGAUGGUCUUAGGAAGGCCAUAAUGGAAGAAGUUCACAGUUUGAGGUACUCUAUCCACCUAGGUGCUACCAAAAUAUAUCUGGACUUGAAAGAGUUAUAUUGGUGGAAAGGCAUGAAGAAGCAAGUAGCAGAUCAUGUGGCUAAAUGUUUGAAUUUGCCAGCAAGUCAAAGCCGAGCAUCAGAGACCUGGUGGUCUAGCUCAAGAUAUAGAGAUACUAUAGUAGAAGUGGGAGAUAAUUUAUAUGGAUUUUGUAGAAGGUCUACCUUGCACAUACCAUAAGCAUUAUUCAAUUUAGGUUAUUAUAGACCGACUGACAAAGUCCGCGCAUUUCCUACUAGUAAUGACGACAGAUUCCGUAGAGCAGUAUGUGCAGUUGUGCAUCAAAAAAAUAGUCCAAUUGCAUGGUACUCCAGUUACAAUCAUAUCUGACAUAGGUCCUCAGUUCACGGCACAUUUUUAGCAAGCAUUUCAGAAAAGAUCAGGUAUCAAGGUAUAUUUGAGCACCGCUUUCCAUCCACAGACUGAUGGUCACGUAGAAAGGACCAUUCAGACUCUCGAAGAUAUGUUACGAGCAUGUGUUAUAGAUUUUGGUGGUAAUUAGGUUGAUCACUUUCCACUUAUAGAAUUUACUUACAAUAUCAUCUAUCAAGCCAGCAUUGAUAUUUCUCCUUAUGAAGCGGUGUAUGGGCGAAGAUUGUUAGUCUCUAGUGGGUUGGUUUGAACCAACAAAGGUGUCUUCGAUUGGUCCAAAUUUUGUUUGUGAGGCCUUAGAGAAAGUCCUGCUAAUCAUAGAAAAACUGAAAGCGGCUUAGAGAAGUCAAAAGUCCUGUUCUGAUAAUAGGCAUCGUGACUUAGAGUUCAUGGUUGGUGACAAGGUAUUUUUGAAAGUCUUACCAAUGAAAGGAGUUAUGAGGUUUGGUAAGAAGGGAAAACUUAAUCUUAGAUUAUUGGACCUUACGAGAUUACAAAAAAAAAAAAAGGAAAGCGUCGCUUAUGAGCUUGUGUUUCCCGUUGAGCUGUCCUCUGUCCAUCCUGUAUUUUUGAGGAAAAAGGUAUGUGAACCUAGGUUUGGUUGGAAAUUUUUAUUUAUUAAAUACAAGUUAGCAUGUAUUUAUGUCCUUGCUAGAUUAUAGUUAGUUGUUGAAUUAGUUUAAUUUUCGUCAGAGUAUAUUUAGUUAUUUAACAAUUUAGCCAUGCCAGAGUACAAUUAACUCGUAAAAGUAAUUUACUUUUACUAAAGUGUUGUGCUUUGGAUUCUUGUUGGUUAUUAUGGUACCUCCUUGUUUUUCGGAGUGUGAGUAAUUCAUUUAUCAGAUGUAUAUGGUACCUAUGAAUGGCCGUUAUGGUAUAUUUGGUUAUUGUUGGUGUAGUUGUGGUAAUUGUGAAAGGAAAUUUUUGAAUAGUUCAAUUUACAAGGAAAAUUCUACCGAAAUUUUUGAAAAUUUAGGGAAUUAAGCCAAAAUUUGGAGUCUCUUGGAAAAGUCAAUAUUGCUAAAAAAUUUCAGAGGAAUACUUUUAAGGACGGAAGAUUGUAACACUCCUCAAAUUUAUAAAAGUUUCGAGAUACGCUAAUUAUAGAAUAAAAUUAUUAUUAUUAUUAUUAUUAUUAUUAUUAUUAUUAUUAUUAUUAUCAUCAUCAUCAUCAUCAUCAUCAUCAUCAUCAUCAUCAUCAUCAUGUUGCCUAUAGUGUGUGUCUAUAUAUAUAUAUAUAUAUAAUUAGAUAUACAAUUAGAGGAAUAUUAAUAAUUUUAAUGUUAGUAAUUAUUAAAAGUAUGUAUAAUUAAAUACUACUUAAAUCAAAAAAAGGGAAGCACGUGCCAAGUAAGCCCAUAAAGGACUAUUGGACCAAACAUAAUAGCCUCACGGAGCCGUGAAUACCUUACCAAAAGCAAACAGAAUCUUAAAUCUUAAUUCUGUUUGCUCGAGAAACAGAGCAGCAACUAUUCAUGCACGGCAACAAAAAUUCUAAGGUUCUUCAUAAUUCACUUAUUUUCUCACUAAGGUAUAUAAAAUUUUCUAUUCUCAAUUACCCUACAGUAGUAAUCGGUAAGAGUUGAAUAGUUAAUUCCCUUCUUUAUCCAUAUUAAUAAUAGAUUUCAUCUUUAGGUGUGAAACUUUAAAAUUGAUUAAAAUGCACUUGGUAUUGUAGAAUCGAUUAUUUGACUUGUAUCAAUUGGAUCGUGCCUACGUAUUGGCUCGAGAAAUUUUGAGGUUUAUUGAUACACUACAAGAAAAUAGGCCUAUUGUGGCGACAUAAGCCGUCCCUGAAAGUGCAAAGGUCGCCAUAGAAGACCAUCAGUGGUGAGCAUAUAGUCGUCGGCUAUAGUGAGUCAGAUAGUCAAUCGUCGCGACUAAAUUAGUCGACACAAAAGAUAUGAUUUCAGUGGCAACAUUAAUCUCCACAAAAGUUGACUUAGAUUGACACAAAAUACAGCUUCAAGAGACGUUAGUCGCCACUGAAUAUUCUUUUUUGGUGGCGAAUCUUUUUUGCCACAAAUUGUUUUAUCUUUCGUGACAACAUUAGUCGCCCCAAAUUCCUCGCCUUUUUUGUCAAAUUCACUUACUUUUUGUGGCAACAUGGGAUUGUUACCAAAACUAACCUUUUUGUGACGGUGAAAUAUCGCUACAAUACUAUUAUUUCCGCGACUACAAUAGUCGUUACAAUAAAAAUUUCAUGUUUUAAAAAUAUUUAUAUAAAACUAUAAUAGAUUCAUACUAGUAGUCGAACAAUAAUAAAAUAACCUAUUUAUAGUGGUAACAAAAUAUUUCACGAAAUAGAAUUGUAUAUAAUUUUUUCAUUGGUAAAAGUGUAAUCAAUCUAAAGUAUCAUUGUCAUUGCACGUCCUCAAUAAAAAGAAUACAAUUUAUUUAAGAUACUCCAAAAUUUUCAAACUACACCAAUGUUUGUAAAAUGCUCUACUGCAACUUCAUUUCUUCAUUGUUGAAGUUCUUUGUUCGUGUCAUUGUAAAAAAAAAAAUAUAUGAUGAACAAACUUAGCAAAUGCACGUACUAAAGGAAAUAUCUCUACAAGUAGCAACAACACGAAAGAAUGAAAAAAGAAAAAGAUGAACUUAGAUCAAACUUCAGUUUGAGCCUUCAGUAUGCCAGCUAAUAUAACCAAUCUCAUUCAGGAUGAAACAGAUUCCGCUGUGAAAUUUUCUCUUAUGAGUUGCUGUGCUUCGUGGAAUUAUAUUGGAAACAAACAUAAAUUACACAUGGCUAAGAACAUUUCUUGACAAUAUCAAUCUUAACAUAUAACCAAAUGUUAGCAGAGGAUUCAAAGACAAUAGAUUAAUGUAUAGCUUAUCAACAAUGACAAUUAUUAUACACGGAUAAUAAGUGCUUUACAAUUGAACCAUUAUUGAAUGAAAAUCCUCAAGUCAUACAACCUAACUGUUAGAGAGCAAGCAUGACUUGAACCUUCGAAGACAUUAGUAAAGAAAAGUUAACAAUGUAGCAGAACGAAGUCUCUAGGAGAAUUUACAUGCAAAACUGUAUGCAAAUGAAUUUGGUAGAGUUUUCCUAACAUUUGAAAUUCUUAUGAUUACUCAUCCUUGUGAUGUGCAUCUUUUGGAUUAACAGAAAUAUUAGAUCACACAUAAUUCCUUUUUUUUUUUUUUGCGCAAUCUUAAAGAUAUGCUUCAGCUACUAUGAGAAAAUUCUGUCAACCUUACUUUUUCUCAUUUUCUUUUCAUUUGUUUUAUGUUUUACUUCAUUUCCAACUCCUUGCAAAUGGUGAUAAUCGUGAUUUCCAUUUAUCUUCCUGUAUUUAUUUGGAUAGGUGGUCACGAUGUCGCUAUGCAAAUCUCACUGUUAAUGACUUCAUACCUUGUGCAUAUGCAGAUGUUGGAACAGAGAGUUGCGAUUAUAGAGAGGCUAUAUAAACUGAAUUUUUAUCCUUUAUAGUGUUGAAACUAGCAACAUUGUAUUAACAGUUGUAUAUUACAUUUGUAGAGUACAGAAACAUUAGCAUUUACCUUUUGAAUUCUAGCAAUCAUCAUAGCCAUCUGCUUUUUAAAUCUUUUGUCAAGUUGUAGAUUCAUGUGUGCGCACUCCUUUUCUAGUUUUUUUUUCAACUCAGCACAAUCUUCUUCUAGCUUUCUUUGUAACUCAAAACGAUCAUCUUCUAGCUUCGGGGACAAUUCAGCAGCCAUUUGUUCUUCUAACUUUCUUUGUAACUCAGCAGCUUGUUCACGUUCUUCUUGUAAUUUUCUGUCCAUUUCAACUUGCAUAUCUUGACGCAUACUUUCCUUUGCAGAAGACAUACUUGCUUCUAAUUCUACCUGCUGCACUCGGCUCUUUUUUGCAUGCCUUUUUCCGUACCCUUUCCCACGAACAUAGCCAGUUCGUUCGCCAAGUACAGUGACUAAAAUCUCAUCUGCAUUCAUCGAAUUUUCUUCAAAUUGUUGUUGCUCAACAAAGACAAGAGGGGCUUGCUCGGAUGGUAAGCAACCCCCACUCCCAACCGAGAGGUUGUGAGUUCGAGUCUCCCCAAGAGCAAAGNNNNNNNNNNNNNNNNNNNNNNNNNNNNNNNNNNNNNNNNNNNNNNNNNNNNNNNNNNNNNNNNNNNNNNNNNNNNNNNNNNNNNNNNNNNNNNNNNNNNNNNNNNNNNNNNNNNNNNNNNNNNNNNNNNNNNNNNNNNNNNNNNNNNNNNNNNNNNNNNNNNNNNNNNNNNNNNNNNNNNNNNNNNNNNNNNNNNNNNNNNNNNNNNNNNNNNNNNNNNNNNNNNNNNNNNNNNNNNNNNNNNNNNNNNNNNNNNNNNNNNNNNNNNNNNNNNNNNNNNNNNNNNNNNNNNNNNNNNNNNNNNNNNNNNNNNNNNNNNNNNNNNNNNNNNNNNNNNNNNNNNNNNNNNNNNNNNNNNNNNNNNNNNNNNNNNNNNNNNNNNNNNNNNNNNNNNNNNNNNNNNNNNNNNNNNNNNNNNNNNNNNNNNNNNNNNNNNNNNNNNNNNNNNNNNNNNNNNNNNNNNNNNNNNNNNNNNNNNNNNNNNNNNNNNNNNNNNNNNNNNNNNNNNNNNNNNNNNNNNCCCUCCCAAGACCCCACUAAAUGGCAUUAUACUGGGUUAUACUCUUUUUUUCUUUUUUUUUUUUUUUGUUGCUCAACAAUUUCUUGGAGCUGCCCCUGCAAUUAUGCAUACAAUUUAUGAUAUAAAAUAGGAGAUAUAAAAUAAACUAAAUAAAACACAAUUUCAAGAGAUUACAUGAAUUUGCUGCAACUGUGAAUCUGACUACACCAGUUCUUCUUUGUCAUUCUUACGAGUAUGUUGGAGCUCCCAAACUCGAUCCGGUGGUGCCUCUUGUCCAUUAACAGGAUUUCUCUACAAUUUAUUAAAGUAGAGGAAACUAUUUAAGUACAUAAUGUGACCUAAGAAAUAAUGACAAAUAUAUGAAAUAUUAUUGUGGUAAAUUAAUUUGUACCGUUGAUUCCUCCACUUGAGCAAAUGACUUUGAGCCACAUGAGUGUUUAAUUAUUUGUUUUCCCUGUUUAUUUUGUUUCGUUCACUCACAGCCUGAAAUUAUAUCCAUAAAUUAAGAACCAGAAUUGAAAUAGUAAUUUGUCACAUAUUUAUAUUACCAAGUUACCUUGAAUUCCGGACUUCCAACAUGUCCUAAUAGAAACACCCAAUCCUCAAGUGUAACAUCACUUGGCCUAUGAGAUAAUCUUUCUUCAUUAGUAGCAUAGCAAGAGUAUUCAACAUGCAAUCGAGUCUUCCAUGUUCUAAAAAGUCUUUUCAUAGUAUUGACCACAAGAUCUUGCAAUACAUGCUCUCGAACUCCGGGAGCUUCAAAUUUAUCCUAAAUGCAAAUACGUAAAGCUUUUGAGAGUAAAUAAAACAUGUGAUAAAAAGUCGAUAUAAACUUUAUUAACAAAUUAUUACCUUAAUCUUCAACCACAUCGCAUCUCAAUAUUUUGUGAUUAAUGUUUUUCCAAUUAUCAUUUCUGAAUGAGAUAGUGAUCCGCAUAACCAAACCACAAUAGUUAACAAUGUCCCUAGACCCGUGACCUACAGCUCUCUCAAUGUCAUUUGGAAUGACAAUAGAAAUUUUACUACCAUGCUUAGUUUUCAAAUCUACAAGUAUAUAUAUUUACUUAUUGGAUUUGUUGCAAGAAGUUGCGCAAAAGAAUAUAUAUUUAACAAUCAUAUAGCAUCCGGAAUAUGACUAUAUAAUGAUGAGCCGCUGCAAUUAUUUAGCUUCAAAAGCAAGCAGUAGUAAAAUUCGUAUUCAACAAUCAGUAUUAUUUAACAUUCACAACCAAGCAGUACUCUGUUCUUUUGACGGUUGCUCGAGCAAAAAUAGUGCCAAAAAGAAAAGAAGGGAAGAAGAAGAAAAAUGUGGCUGCUCUGCUAUUUCUUUAAUCCCUGCGCUGUUUCUUUUUUUUUUUUUAAUAAGCGAAUCUACAAUCGCAUCUCGCUACAGUUUCGCCUCUAUCUGCACAGGUAGAGGCGAGCACUAUUUUUAAAACACAACGCAACACAGCAGAAAAGCGAUGGAGGCUCGCAUCGGUACGCCUCACGCUAUUAGCGCUGAGGCGAGCGCUAUUUACAACAUUGACUCGAGCAGGUUAGUUCCUACUUUGUUAUAUUCCUUAGAUAUAUACUAAUCCGGACCAGUUUGGUCACCUUAUAUUCUGCCUUCCAUUUGUGUCUACAGAUAAUGUUAGCAGUUAUGUAAGUGCUUAUUGUUGAACAUACCUUGCUAAGAGUACCUAACUUAUUUUUUUUCUCCAACUUGUACUUUUUCAUGUACAUGUGUUAGUGCACAUAUGCAAAUCUUUUUACCUUUCUAUGCAUUUCCUCCAAUGUUGUUUUCACAUGAUUCAAGGGAUCGCUAAUGGUUCUUUGUUCAUGUUGUGUACUUUUUUGCUCUAAAAGAAACAGGCAUAUAUAAGACUAUCUUCUUAAACUAUGAAAUAUUAGAAGUUAAAGACAGUUAUUAGCAAAACUGAUGGCAGAAGAAUAGGCCACAUAAUAAUUAACCUUUAGAGAAAGGGUUAGGAUUCCGAAUUAUACUUACUAAUCUGUGGUGAUCAUAGCAAGUUUUCUAGCCCUGAAUCUAAUUCGUCUAUUAUGCACUCAAUUUAACAGAAACUAAUAUGUGAGCUGUAGAUAUCUCCAAUAAUAUUCCAUCUCUUGGCAUAUUAAACGAAUUAAUAGUAUAUGUUUGUCUUAAGAUUUUCACCAGUAUUGCAAAAAACACUAAACAAAUCGAGUUUUUAAUUAGUUAACAGAAAGAUUGAGAGAACUAACCUGCAGUACUUUCGGUUUCUAUAGUAGGAUGCGCACUUUCGACAACAAUUCUUGAUGACUGUGAUCCAUUAGGUUCUUGACAAGGUUGACUUGAAUGUCUGGUCUCUGAAGGUUCUAAUACUUGUACCUGAGAUGCUUGUAGUUGAGAAGAACGCUCAAGCCUUGUCAAUGGUUCAUUAGCCCUGUAGGAUGACGUCGCUGUAGAACUGUCACGAACUCCAAUACUACCACCUGCACGACUACCUCAACCUCCACCUCGUGCACCUCUACCUCGUCCAAAUCCUACCAUUUCCUACAAUAUCUCAAAAUAAAAAAUAUGAAAACAAAAAUCAAAGUUCUAGUGAAGAUCCAUGUUUGUCUAGUAAAGGAUCGUGCCAUUAUUAAGAUUUCUAUCAUUCUUAAACUCAACAACUGCUGUAUAUGUACAUUUAGAAGCUUAGCAAAGCUAUAAAAUUCAAGUCAUCAUCACAUAUAAAAGUAAAAGGGAUGUUCCAGUAUAUUAAAGGUAGUAAUUAAGAUGAAGGUUCAUUGAAUCACAGAAUAAUAAGGGGGAUAAAGAAGCUACUGAUAAGAAUUCAUAGAAAGAAACACAAAAGCUAUCUAUUUGGUCACUCCAUAUCCCUAUCAUCUAUGGCGGUGUCAUCUCCAUCGUUAUUAUCAAGUAACUCUUUAUCGCUUUUUUCACUAUUAUAUAGAUCCAUAUGAUCGUAAUUAAUGAAACCAUCAUCCUCAUUAUGCACAGUUGUCUGAGCUUCAGUCGCUUGGUUAUAAUCAAUAAUUUGUGAUUCAACAUCAUCCCUAUACAAGGACGCUACAAUAUCAAUUUCUUGAGCAUGAAUGUGCAAUGUAUUAAUUUCAACUUGCUCUUGUUGAUAAGCAUCUUCACUCGAUAAUACUUCAUCUUCAAUUUCUAUAGAAUUAAUAUCCUUUUCAGACAUAUUAAAAAGGUCACGAGGAUUUGUCUUCACAACAACAAGCCAAUAUUUGUUAGACAUGUCGUCCACAUAGAAAACUUAUUCACACUGAGAUGCCAACACAAAUGGCUCAUUUAUAUUCAAGGCAUAACGAGUAUUCACACUUGUGAAGCUAUAUUUGUCAAUCUUAUAUCCUUUUUCCUAAGUGAUAUACAUCCGGCCAAUGACACCUAAAGAGGUAAACUUUCUUAUUUCCCACAUAAGAUAACUCGUAAAUGUCCUCCAGUAUACCGUAAUACUCCUUUGUUGAGUGUGAAUCAUCUCCUCUAACAAGAACUCCACAAUUAUGUGUUUUUCUUCUCGACUCUAUAUCUCUUGUCUGAAAUCUAAAUCCAUUCACCAUUAACGUGGAAUAUUGAAUCAUUAAAGGUCCAGGACCGAGUGUUAAGCUUAUGAGAUCAUCAUUUGCAUGUACUUGUGCAGAUAGUUGUAAGAUCUACAAAAGACAAACAAUACUCUCGUAAUCAAUAACAUAUGUGAUAAUAACAUUAAUAUUCAGUGUGCCAUUUUAUUCAUCACUUACAUGUGCAUGAAACCAAUCAAAAAAGUCAUUGUUAUGCCUUCCAUCCCCUAUUGCACUUUGGCUUUCCAUCUCUCAGGUGUGUUCCCUACAUUUUAAUAAUGGGUCAGUUAGGAAAACGUAAUUGAAAUAUCCUAACACAAAAUUAUCUUGAAGUUCUCCAGAAACUUACUCAAGGAACGGCCAAACUUCUUCACAAUUUUGAAGCACAUAUAUGGAUGCUUGGUUUAACUCAUCACGAGAUAGCGGGGCAGGAUCUGAACUACCUUUUGUUCGUCCACUAUUUUUAAAGAUAAAUAUCUCACUAUGUGACAUAGAUUCAUCAUCAUUCCUAGCUGGCCUAUUGAACUUGGUUGAGAUAUUCUUUAAGUAGCGCGAGCAAAAUGUGAGGCUUUCUUCUACAAAAUAACCUUCUACAAUUGAGCCUUCAGGACAAGCAUAGUUGUGAACAUACGACUUAAGUAUUCACAAAUACUUGUAUACAAAUGACUAGUUAAAAACAAUGUGACAUUCUGAAAUUAUAGUAUUGAAAUUUAAAGGAUGACACGUUACCUUUCAAAAUGGUACAUCCACCGAUAUUGAACUGGUCCACCUAGUUUUGUGUCUCUUGCCAUUUGAAUUGGCAAAUGAACAAUGACAUCGAAAAACGCAGGAGGAAAAACCAUUUGGAACUUGCACAAUGUGAUAGCAAUUUCAGCCUCUAAGAUAUCAAGAUCUUCAAUUGUCAAGCACUUAGAACAUAAAUUCUUGAAAAAAAUGUCCUAUUUGUAUAAUUGGUUCACUCACUUCCUUAGGCAAAACACCAUUAAUUGCUAAUGGAAAAAUAUCUUCCAAUAAUAAAUGGUGAUCAUGACUUUUUAAUCCAUGUAUCUUUUUCUCUUCAACCUUGACACACCUAGAAAUAUUCGAUGAAAAGGCAUCAGGAACCUUCAAAUUAGCUAAGAAAUUACACACUUUCAGCUUCUCUUCUGGGGAUAAUGCGUAGCAUGCUGCUGGUAACAACACAUUGUUCCUAUCCUGAAUUGGAUGCAAACCUUGCCUAAUACCAAGGUCUACCAAAUCGUACCUACUUUUUAACGUGUUCUUUGUGUUCCCAACAAAAUUCAUCACAGUUGAUAAAAUGUUAUUGACACUUUUUCUAUGUGCAUCAUGCAUCACAUCAAGGUUAUGUCAUAACAAAAGUGUCUUCCAAUAUGAAAAUUCGAAAAAAAUACUUUUCUUCUUCAAAUUGUAAGCAUUAUUAGGGGCAUUACGCUUUCUCUUUUGCCCUUUACCUAAUGUCACAUUACCCUACCCUUGUAGUUGAAUAAGUACAUCAUCACCUAUUAAAGGAUUAGGUGCAACUCCCUUUUCUACUUUCCCAUCAAAUAACCUCCUAUUUUUGCGCCAUGGAUGGUCUAAUGGAAGGAAGCAACGAUGCCCCAUAUAACACAACUUACUACGUAAUAAAACCGAUUGUGUAUAUUUGUGGCAACAAGGGCAUGCAAGUUUGCCCUUGGUUGACCAUCUCGAAAGGUUCUCAUAUACAUGAAAGUCAUUAAUUGUCCACAUGAUAGUCGCACGCAUCAUAAAUUUAGAUUUUGAGUAUGGAUCAUAAGUUUCUCUUCCUUCCCAUAAUUCUUUUAAUUCUUCAAUCAUCGGUUGUAAAUAUGCAUCUAUAUCAUUUCCUGGACACGUAGGACCUGGAAUAAGAAGUGUCAUCAUGAAAUACUCACUCUUCACACAAUUCCAUAGGGGUAAAUUAUACGGAACUAGUACGACUUGCCAUAUGCUAUGGUUGGAACUCAUGUUCCCAUAAGGAUGGAACCCAUCGCUUGCUAAACCUAAUCGAACAUUUCUUAAUUCAACAGAAAAGCUGGGAUGUUUCUCAUCAAAAGAUUUCCAUGCCAUUGCAUCAGACGGAUGUUGCAAUAUACCAUUAUCAACACGUUCCUCCUUAUUCCACCUCAUCUUUUUUGUUGUCUCUCUUGCCAUGUAUAAUCUCUGCAGUCUUGGUUUGAUAGGAAAAUGUCGCAAGACUUUAUGAGCUACUUUCUUGCCUCCAUUCUCUUUUGACUUCCAUCUAGACUCACCACACUUAGGAUAUGAUUGUGCAUUGGCAUUCUCGCCCCAAUAUAAGAUACAAUCAUUCUGACAUGCAUCUAUUUUGGGGUACCCCAAGCCUAAGUCUUGAAGUACUUUUUUUGCUUCAUUGAAAUAAUUUGGAACAAAUGACUCCACUGGAAGAACUUUUUUAAAGAAGCUCAACAAGUCAUCCAUUGAUUUGUUGGUCCAAUGAUUAAGGUAAUUCAAGUGAAGUAGUCUAACCACAAAAGACAACUUGGACACAGUUUUACAACCAAGAUAAAGUUCUGUCUCAUCAUCUUCAAGUGAUUGGUAGAACUUUUGUGCUUGCAAAUUUGGUUCUUCAUUAUGGUGUGGAAGGUUAUUUGCUUCAGUUGUAUUUGCGUAUCCAUAAGCAUCAUGAAUCAUCCUAGUAAUAUCAUCUUCUUCAGCAUUAUCAUCCUCUACUUCAUCAUUGUUUAUCACAUCAGAAUUUUCAACUCUUACCAACAUCUCUCCGUGCAAGUCCCACACUUUAUAACUAUCCCAAAACCCAUUUCUNNNNNNNNNNNNNNNNNNNNNNNNNNNNNNNNNNNNNNNNNNNNNNNNNNNNNNNNNNNNNNNNNNNNNNNNNNNNNNNNNNNNNNNNNNNNNNNNNNNNNNNNNNNNNNNNNNNNNNNNNNNNNNNNNNNNNNNNNNNNNNNNNNNNNNUCAUCAUUGUUUAUCACAUCAGAAUUUCCUAGUAAUAUCAUCUUCUUCAGCAUUAUCAUCCUCUACUUCAUCAUUGUUUAUCACAUCAGAAUUUUCAACUCUUCCCAACACCUCUCCGUGCAAGUCCCACACUUUAUAACUUUCACAAAACCCAUUGCUCAACAAGUAUAUCUUCUUAUUUGGAGUUUUAACAUGUGCUAUGUAUUUCUACACCCUUUACAAGGACAUCUUAUCACAGUGCUCACAUUUGGUUGACUGUAUGCCCAAUAAAGAAGGUUAUCUAUUCCUUUAAUAUACCUUUUAUCACAUUUAUUCUUAAUGUUCAUCCAACUUUUAUCCAUUGCUAUUUUCUACAAAAAAUGCAAUAAAAAAUAUAAGCACGUCACUAAUCAAAACUAACUACGUUAUAUAAGAAAGUGUUGAACUCAUCUAUACGAGUACAAAUACUAGGAUAUAAGACUUUAAAAACAUAGUAAAUGAGAACACAUUGAAUAUUCUAAAAACUAAUUUAACACUAGCAUUUCGUCUUAUAAAAUAACUAACAUUAUUUCACCUCUAAAGUGAAAAUCAAAUAAUAAAUUACAUAGGAAAUCAAAUAACAAAGGAUACAAGGAACUAAAUUACAUAGGAAAUCAAAUAUGUUGAUAAUAACAUGUGAUCGAUCUCCAAACAAUUAUCCUAAAUUAUAAGGGACAAAACUUAAUCUUUAAAGGCAAAGUGUAUCGUCGAUACUAAAUCAAUGUAUAAUGGCGGAGGCAAUGAAAUUAUAGCUAUUACAGUUUACCAAACUAUUAAAUAUAAUAUCUAAUUCUAUGGAUUAAAAUGUGCAGAUUACUUUCACUUUAGCUCACACUAAUAAACCUAGUUCAUAUUUCGCUUUAGCUCACACACCAAGCCUAAGCCUAUUGGUUUAGCUAUUUCUUUUCAUCUAUGGAGAGAUCAGGAGUUUGAUACCGUAGGACGUCCAUUUUUAGAAACAAAAAGAGCUCAAAAAUUCAUUAAAAUUCAGAGCCUAUUGGGAUCGAACCCUUGAUCUAAAACAUGAUAGUCAGUCACUUAACAGUUAGGCUACGAGUCAAGAUUAAGCUUUAGGCUACGGAUAAAUAAUUUUUAGGCGGUGUCAUUACUGUUUAUAUGCAAUAAUUUGAUAUGGUACUUCUGGUUAAGGAUGAAAGAAUCUCUAACUAUGCCAACACACGCCUUAAUGGUCAUCAAGCUACUUGCCUUGUCUAUAGGUGGGUGACUAUCCUGUUUUAGUAGAGCAACUAGAACAUAAGUUGGGUUUGCAACUUGCAAAUUUGCUAUAUUUUUGGUACAAGUUGCCACGGUUCUCGGGUGUUUGACCUUAAUUUUCAGUAUAGAUCAGCAGAGCGGAAGUCAGUCAAACACAAUACUAAAGCUAUAUAAGCAAAUAGUAGUAAACCUUUUCCCCAUGAUUCCAGCAUAGAAGCAAACGACAUGGUCAGAAUCUUUUUGAGUCAUGGACAACAGGUUAAGCUACAGAUAAAGAAGACACAAUGAUACUGAAGAUGAAAAAACAUAUUGCCUAGAGAAAUCUGAGCAGAGAAACGACCGAAAUCUAAUGUGAGCAUAGAGAAUUUUUUUGUUGGUUUACUUUUCCGAGAAUUGUAGUUGCACCAUAUAGACCUUCUUUCCUUAGGUUUUUUUUAUUUGGAAGAAUUGUAGUUGGAAAAGAGAUCUUUUCACCUUAUUGAAACAAAAUUGUAGGGUUUUUUUGGUUCCUGACUUAUUGGUUUCGCGGAAAACAAAACUUUGACUUUGGUUUUCCCCAUCUGUUUUUCAAAGAAAGAUUAAUUUUAUAUUAUUUAAAGAAUUUACAGUUUCUGUGGCGACUAAGUCACCACGCAUUCUCAUACAUGGCGACUAUCUAUGAAUUGCCACUAAAACUUUUACAUCAACUUUUUAUUUUUGUGGAAAAAUGAAAUUUAGCGUAUAAUUACAAGUUUGUUGCAACCUAAGUUUAUUUGUCACUAAAAACCUCAUUUCUUGUAGUGAUAUAACCCUUUACCAAAGUGGCUUAACUUACAAAAGUAUGCAUACAAGGUGUUUGAUGAAUUGGCUAAAAGAGUGAAUAUGUACUUAAUUGAAGUGAGUGAGUUCCUAUUAGCUUAGAAUUAUUUUAGUUGAAGUUAAAUGAUUUACUUGGAUAUAUGGCGCAUAAAUUUUUAAAUUUUUGUGUUAUUCUUAUAUGCCAUUUUCAUGUUGAAAAUUCAUGAAAAAACAAGAAUAUUUAGGAAUAAUUUUGAAAGUUUAUUUCAUUCUUAUGACAUACCUUACAUUUAAGAAUUCUAGAAUAAGUAUGUUUGAAAGAUUUAGACUUAAAAAGCCACAAGAAGAAGUUUUAGAAAGAAAAGAUUUUUGGGAGUACCAUUUAUUCUGAGAAAGGGUCAUCGUCCAGGCCGAGGGUCCUAACAAAGGUGUUGACUUGCUGAAACUACUUGUGCCAAGUAGGGAGCACACGAGCCGAGGGUCUCGUUGAUGAGAAUUGGCUUACCCAGGCUAAGGUAUGAUAUAUGAGCGUUGAGAACCAUGAAGCGAGUGGCACAUCAUGCAUUAGACCUAUUCGAUCAGGUUGGGAUCUAACUUGUGUCGAAGAUACGGUGACAAAGACCGAGAUAGGUCAGAAUAAUUGGAACUCCCUAGGUAUAAAGAGAAGUAUUUUUUUUUAAAAGAAAAGAAUUUCUUUUAGAAUAUUCAUAAACUGCUAUUAUGCAAUAAUUUUAGAAUUAUUCUUAGAAGCUUUAUGUUUUCUAUGCAUUUAGAUUCUUUGCUCGUAAUGUGUAUUGUAUUAAAGUUUCAUUCCCUAUCGUUGAGACUCACCAAGUACAAUGGAUGGUACUGACGUUCUCUUUUGGAAACCUACGUUGAUCUGCGGUACAACGUAGGAACCGAUUUUGCAGGCGAGCAAGCUACAGUUUAGGACUUCCUUCCCUUCCAGUACUAUUGGUGAGCUCCGCUUUUGUUCGUGGAGUAUUCCUUAGAGUCAUCUUUAGUUAGCUAUUUCUUUGUUUACUUAGAGAACUGGCCAGGAAAUCUCAUGUCCUGAGCAAUGCCUCAGUUUAUCGGUAGAGGCUUCAUAGACAUAGUCGGUUGGUUAAGAUUCAGACGUUUUUUACUAUAAUUUAGCAGUAUUUCAUUGUUUGUUUUUUAUGAAUAAAGUUUUGGAGUUGGUUUAUUAUAGAUAUUUAAAUUAAUUAAAAGUAUUUGGUUAUAGUAUUGCCUUAUUGCAUAUAAAGUUUAAGGUUAUAAUAAAUUUGAUAAGUGCAGAUUGUUCACUCGAUCAUAUUUAGUGAUCGAGUCCCGGUCCCAGCUUAUUUAAAAAUUGGAUUAUGACAUUUAUAAAGAGAAAACAUCGAACUUCUUGAACGCUUGAAUUUUUCUCUCUGUAGAUCUUCUCUAUAUGAAAAACACACACAAAUUAGGGUAUUUAAUUGGUGAAAGAUAAUUUUAUUUCCUAGUAUUUUAAAGUAGAUUUGAGACAUAUAUAUAUAUANNNNNNNNNNNNNNNNNNNNNNNNNNNNNNNNNNNNNNNNNNNNNNNNNNNNNNNNNNNNNNNNNNNNNNNNNNNNNNNNNNNNNNNNNNNNNNNNNNNNNNNNNNNNNNNNNNNNNNNNNNNNNNNNNNNNNNNNNNNNNNNNNNNNNNNNNNNNNNNNNNNNNNNNNNNNNNNNNNNNNNNNNNNNNNNNNNNNNNNNNNNNNNNNNNNNNNNNNNNNNNNNNNNNNNNNNNNNNNNNNNNNNNNNNNNNNNNNNNNNNNNNNNNNNNNNNNNNNNNNNNNNNNNNNNNNNNNNNNNNNNNNNNNNNNNNNNNNNNNNNNNNNNNNNNNNNNNNNNNNNNNNNNNNNNNNNNNNNNNNNNNNNNNNNNNNNNNNNNNNNNNNNNNNNNNNNNNNNNNNNNGUUGUAUUCCCUUUUCGGGACAUAUUGUUUAGUUGUAUUUCCCUUGUCUGGAUCACUUGUUGUACUGUUUUCCCUUGCCGGGAAAUUUUGCCUAUAUAUAUAUAUAUAUAUAUAUAUAUUUCCUUGUUCCACGUACUGAGAUUCGUAACAAGUACAAUAAACUGAGGUUGUGUGGAUGGAAUUGUAAUGCAUUGCUGUGGUAAUUAAUAAAAUUUGAUAGUUUAAAAAAAUCUAUUCGUUAUAAGUAGUUAGAAUGUAAAAUUUCUACCUCUGUUUCCACAUUAUUUGCUCUAAUCAAUAGGUAGACAUAUUGUCAACUUUUAUAUUUUAAAAAUAUCAUCAUAACACAAUAUUCGUAGCACAUCAUCCACCUUACAUGUCUACCAUAUGUCAUCUGUCUUAUAGCCCAUUAAGUAAAGAAAUGAUUGAUUGCAAUUCCGUCGUGGGGUAUGUUUUUCGACCAUUAAUAUCAAAUUUAAAAGUCAUAUGUGAAUGCCGGUGCAAUAUACUAAUAUCAUUUUCACCUACACAUUUAUUCAAAUCUAGAAGUUCUUUCUCUUCUCUACAAGGCUACAAUUAAACAAUCAGAAGAUUUUCUGGAGACUCUUUUAUUUUUAUUUCUCUUUGUCUUAAAACCUUUACUAUAGGAAUGUUGGGGAAAUAAGUGAAACAUUUUAAUCCAUUUUUUAAAUCAUUAGUGGUGAAUCUGAAUACAUGUCUGAAUAUUAAUUUUUGUAUUAAGAUUAAAAUGUCUGAAUCUAAAAUACACAUCUGAAUAUCAAGAUACUGUAUUAAGAUAUGAAUAUUGAAUAACUAAGAGCGUUUGUCGUCUCUAAAUUUGAAUGUGUAAAAGUGGUCUUUGUUUUGUUUAUUUUAAGUAUAAAUUCAAAUCAAAUAGUACUAAUUAGUCUAAUACCGUACUAAUAAAAUAUUUUUAAAAUAUUAUAUAGUAUUCCCUCCAUUUCAUAUUAAAUGAGCUACUUUCCUUUUUAGUCUGUUCCAGAAUAAAUGACACAUUUCUAAAUUUGGAAAUAAUUUAACUUUAAACUCUUCAUUUAACCUUUUUAUCCUUAAUGAGAAGCUUUUAUAGCCACACAAAUGGUAUGGUUCCACAAACUUUAUACCCCUUAAACUUUUAAGACCACAAGUUUCAAAAGUCUUCUUCUUUUUUCUUAAACUCCNNNNNNNNNNNNNNNNNNNNNNNNNNNNNNNNNNNNNNNNNNNNNNNNNNNNNNNNNNNNNNNNNNNNNNNNNNNNNNNNNNNNNNNNNNNNNNNNNNNNNNNNNNNNNNNNNNNNNNNNGCUCAAACAAUAUGAAACAAGCUUUUAUAUCCACACAAAUGGUAUCGCCCCGCAAACUUUAUACCCCUUAAACUUUUAAGACCACAAGUUUCAAAAGUCUUCUUCUUUUUUCUUAAACUCCGUGCCGAGUCAAACUAGCUCAAACAAUAUGAAACAAAGAGAGUAAUUUGUAUUGAUGAUGGCUAGCAGUGUUGGUUUUGGGUGUCGAUUGGGUAGUGACUGGUGGUGAUAUUAGUUGAUAGUAGUGAAUAUGGUCGAAUACAAAAAUCUGUGACGAUUCGGCCGGUUGUUUUAAGAAUUUACGCCCUGAUCCCCUAUUAACUCUUUUCCCGUGUUUAGUUAUGCUAUUUUAAUUUGUCAGGAUGUUCGGUUUUGAGUUUCUAGGAGUUUUGGGGCACUUAGUCCCUAAAUGAGAGCUUAAGUGUUAGAAAUUUAACCGUAGUUGGAACAGUGUAAAGACGACCUCUGAAUGGAAAUCUGAUAGUUCUGUUAGCUCCGUUGGGUGAUUUCGCUUUUAGGGGCGUGUUUGAAUUGUGAUUUGGAGGUCCGUAGCUAAUAUAGGCUUGGAAUGCUGAAAGUCAAAUAUUGAAGUUUUCCGAUUUAAUAGUGAGAUUUUGAUCCAAGGGUUAGAAUCGAAUUUCGAUAGUUGGAAUAGCUCCGUAGUGUUAAAUAUGACGUGUGUGUAAUGUUUCAGGCCAUUCGGACGAGGGAUGGUGGACUUUUUUAUUGAAAGUGUUUUUUAGAGUUUUGGAGUUCUUAGGCUUGAAUUCGAGGUUAAAUUGGUCUUUUGAUGUUGUUUUGAGCGUUCUGAAGGUUAGAACAAGUUUGAAUAAUGUUUUAGGUUUGAAUUUGGACUUAGGAAGAUUUUUCAUUGCUGGUAUCUGUCAUAACAUCACCUGUGGUUUGACUUCCGCAGCUGCGGAGCCGAAAAUGCUGCAUUUGGAAUUGCAGAAGCGGAAAUAGGGAGGUUAAGCAUGAGCCGCGGAAGCGGUGGAGUGUCCGCAUGAGCGGUAUCGCAUCUGCGGAUGAGGAGUCGCAGAUGCAAAAAUUAGGAUGGGUUAGUGAUUGUCGCAGAUGUGACCUUUGGUCUGCAAAAGCGGGACCGCGGAUGAGGAAAUAGCUGGGCAAAACUAUGAAAUUUCGAGGGUUUAGUUCAAAACUUGAAAAAAAUCAAAUUGGAGCUGGGGAAAGGGAGAUUUUGGGAGGAAUUUGAAGAGAAAAUCAUUAGGUAAUAAUUUUUUAACCCUUUCUAGUUAUAUUCCAUUAAUCUAUAGUUAGUUUCAUUAUUUAAUUUAGGAUUGGAGAUGAAAAUUGGGAAAAUAAGAAAGUUCUUAGAUCUAGGAUUCAAUUUUUUAUUGGUAAUUUGACCUUAGAUUUAGAUAAUUUUGGUAUGCACGAACUCGUGAGAGUAUGAGAAUUCUGAAAAUAUAAAUUUUACCCGAUUUUGAGACGUGGGCCUGGGGGCAUUUUAGUUAUUUUAUCUAGUUUUGUGUAAUAGCUUAGAAUUUAAUUGUAGAAUCAGUUACUUGAAGUGUUAUGUACAUUAUGCAAUUUAAUUGAUAGAUUUGGGCCAUUUGGAGUCGAGUACUCGUGGAAAGAACAUGAUAAUUGUCUAACCUUGUAUAGGGGACUCUUCCUUAGGAUUGGUAUUGUGAUAAUUGAAAUGCUUUGUACAUGAGGUGGCGAGUGUGUACUUGUGCUAAUUGUUGAAAAUUAUAUUUUCAUUAAAAUAGCCUUAAUUGUGUUUUUCCUUUCUUGCUUAUACUACUUGGAAUUUAAGCAUGUUGUUAACUUAGGAAAGCAUGCCUAAAUGACUUAAUUGCUUAUUUGCUCAGAUUGCCUUAUUUGAAUUAUGUGCAGCAUGCUAGGUUUAGAAUACCUGUUUAGUCUUGAUAUGAAGUUGACAAUUUAUGGCUAUUCUUCAUGUUGCUGCUGUGCGUUUACAUUGGGACUACGGAUGUGGGAUUCCAGCAGAUCCCCUUUGUUUGUUUAUUUGGGACUACGGAUGUGGGAUUCCAGUAGAUCCCCCUUGUUUGUUUAUUUGGAACUACGGAUGUGGGAUUCCAGUAGAUCCCCCUUGUUUGUUUAUUUGGAACUACUAAUGUGGGAUUACCGUAGAUCCCCCUGCAUAUUUAUAUGAAACUAGGGGAAUGUACCCGGUAGAUUCUCCUAAUACUGGGUAUUUACAUUUGGGAUUACGGAUUGGAAUUCUGUUAGAUCCCCCGCAUUGACAGUUGGACUAUGGGAUGAUAUCUCGGGAGAUCCUUCAGAUAUAUAUAUUAUGGACUACAGGACAGUAUCCCAGGAGACCCACUGGAUAGUUGUGAUUGGAACUACAAGACGGUAUCCUGGAAAAUUCCUGGUUGUUAUCUCUGUGUUGAGCUGUAUUUCCUUUCGUGAUUAUCUUGUCUCUAUUCUAGUUGCUGUUGUUCUUCUAUUUUGGUUACUUCUUACUGUUACACUCAGUUAUACUGCCUUAUUCUACGUUGUUAUACCUUAUAUUUUAUUUAACCUUAGUAGAGCCCUAACCUUCCUCGUCACUGCCUGUCCGAGGUUAGGCUUGGCACUUGCGGAGUACCGUUGUAGUGUACUUAUGCUCUUUCUGUGCAUGUUUUUCAUGUGCAGAUCCAGGUACUUCGACUCAGUCCUAUUACUCCUGAGGCAAGGCGACUGUUCUAGAGACUUCGAGGUACAACUGCCACGUCCGUAGACCGAGGAGUCUUUUUUUAUUCUCUCGUUUAAGUAGUAGACCUUCUGUAUUUCUUUUCCUUGUUAGAUAUUCUGGAGUUAGACACUUGUAGAUAUUCAAAAGCUUGUGGUUUCAUGAGAUUCUGGGUUUUGGAAAAGUAUAUUAGUUUUUGGUGAAGUUGUAUUGUAUAUGUCGAGCGGCAAAUUUUAAUAUUGUUCCAUUCGGUUAUUUUAGCUUUUAAUUAUUUCUUCCGUAAUUUUUGUUUAUUUUUCACGUUGUUAGGCUUACCUAGUUGUAGAGAUUAGGUGCCAUCACGACAAUUCAGGGAGGGCCAACUGGAAUCGUGACAAAAUUUAGUUGUAAUUCCAUGUUUCACGCCUAAAAAUGUUACUAUAUUUAUGAAUACAGUAGCUUAAAAUAUCUAAAAAAAAAUUGAAACAUAUCUAUACGAAAUAAUAAAGUAAAUAAUAACUACAAUUAACUAAUAAUCACUAAACAAUUGUGGUUUGUGAAUAAUAGUGACGCUAUAGUAUUAGAUAUAUACUUGGAUAAUCCCCCAUAAAACUUUAACCUACAAAUGAACUUGGUUAAUCUUUUCCCGUCCAAGAAUCACCGUUUCAAUUUGAUAUUCUCGAUGACGCUGAGGUACGAAUAGUGAGCAAGCUUUUAAAACCGUGACACGAAUUACACAAAAAAAUAGAAGAAAAGGAAUUUUUUGAUUUUGCCUAAUUAAUAUUUUGGUUGAAAGCAACAUAUUUUGGUGAUUAGGCAGUUAGUGAAUUAAACUAAGAUCCAAAACAGUAAUUAAAGAAUAAAUAAAGUGAUGAUGGGAUCAGAGGUAAAGCCCACCAAGUUUGAAUAAAUUAGAGAAUAAACUUAUCUGAUUAGUCUAGAUUAAAGUAAUACUAAUAUCAAAAUCAGGUUAAGCAUCAUCUGAAGUUGUAGUACUCUAUAUUUGUAAAUCUGGUACUACUCUAAAAUGGAUAGUACACUGAGUAGUACUCAAUGCUCCAGGAUAUCAAGUUUGCAAUAGUUUAUGAAAUGAGAUGGACAAUAUUAGCAGUACAAGAACCUAGUAUAAUGAUGUACCCAAAAAAAAAACUUGGGACUUUAAUAAAAUGGACAAGAUUUUACUACUUGUAGUACAAUCAGUGUACUUGCUACUAUUGUUGUAAAAAAAAUGUAUGGUUGUGUCAUGGUAGAACUAAUCUAUAAAAGGAGUCAAAUCUGCCACACUCGAUAUACUAAGGGGAAAUUGAAGAAGAAGCAGAAGAUGACACUUUGUUGGUGACUUUGGUCUCGAAAGAGUAUUGGUUAGUAUUAAUUGUUUGUAUACACGCACUUACGCCCAAAAUAUAGAUUUUUCACUAUGUGUUUUUAACUUACAUAAACAAAAUUGUUUUUUUUAAACUCUUGUAUAUUCAAGAACACCCACUUAAGCUUUUGUAUAUAGCGUAAACAUAAUACACCGCAAGAUAAGAGGGGUUGCUCUGAUGGUAAGCAACCUCCAUUUCCAAUCGAGAGGUUGUGAGUACGAACCUCCCCAAGAGUAAGGUGAGAAGUUCUUGGAGGGAAGCAUGCCGGAUUUUUAUUUGGAAACAGCCUCUCUACCCCAGAAUAAGGGUAAGGUCUGCUCACACUAUCCUUCCCAGACUACAAUAAGUGAGAUUAUACCGGGUUGUUGUUGAUGUUAUAAUACACCGCAAGAUUAAUUGUCUUGUCGUUUCCUCAUACAUUUUUUUGUUUGAUGCAUACUUUUGUGGUCUAUGGCAUCAACCACUAAUUUUCUCAUUACCAAAAUGGCCACCAUUUUUACAUAUCUAUUUCUAUGUACCAUAAACCACAAUUUUUUAUAUUGUUUUUCAAUAUACCUUAAACCAAAAUUUAAUAAAUUAUCCUUAUGUAAAGUGUCUAUAAGAUUGUCCCUUUUUCUUUACAACAGCUCCGUUUCCUUAUUUGAAAAUGUUAAGAUCAGUCAACUUCAUGAUUUCAUGUGUUUUCUCCUUUCCGCUAAUUACAAGUGCAUUUAUCCAAGAUUUUUGUAUUGCAUUCCCUCUCUGCUAAAUUGAUCAAAUAGGUUAUUUUGACGGACAACAUUAUUAAAUUAUAUUAACAAAUUAUGCGCAUGAAAACACAACUUUUUCAAAACGGCAAACUUGCAGUCUUGUAUAUGAUAGAACUGUAGGACUUAACUUUUAUUUACUGAUGGUGCAAUCAAAUUUUUACACCCCCUUGCAAUUUAACCUAGUGCAUAAGGUUGCAGCUUGUGCAAUCAGUUAUUUUAUGUAGUUACCUGCAAUUACAUUUCAAGCGAGCAUAUAAUGUAAAUUAAACAAUUUACAUUAUCAAUGUAUAUAGUUAAGAUCAUUGUUGAAUACUACGAAGGAAGAAGCAUCAUUGUAUGGACACAGCAUUAGACUUUUGGGACCAAAGUCACCAGCAGAGUCUCAAAUUUCUCAUCUCCAAAUCAUCCAAUGAGGGGAACAGCCAACAACUUUGAUUAUUCUUUGGCGUCUCAUGUUAUUGUGAUAUUGUUGGUCGAAUGCGUACGGGAUUUUGAGAUAACGUAAUCUUCUAUUGCAAAGUUAGUUCUAAAUAAUGUAACCACAAUUUAAAUUUGUGAAAGCUUUUAUACUGUCCAUAUAUGCAUCCUCACUUUAUAAUAGUAACUAUAUUUGUUGAAUACUAUUAUUGGACCUUUUUAAUCCGUCUAGUAAGGUUCGCCAUCAGGAUAAUGUAUGGUGCCAAAUCUGAUUAAGGAAAUUCGGCAUGAAAAUGUAUUAUUAGAAGUAAUUCGGCUGUCGAUUAAUGACUAAUGGAACUAACCACCGAGCAGUCGAUUAUGGCCGAGGUCAAAUGUUGAGAGCAACAGUAACGACUAGUUUUAUAUUAGGGUCUUUAGGAGAAUAUUCCAUUGAAUUUCUCUGUACUUGUACUUUUAGGGUCGAUGGGGGUAUGUCUCGUAUAAUUAGAAAGAGAGAUAAGGUAAAAGGGAGGUAUUAUUGAUUCUGAUAAGAAUUCUCAUGAAGAGCACUCUCUAGAUAAGUACAAACACCAUAUUUCUAAAGAGAUUCGUUUGGUUGAUUAUUCUACAUUAUUCAGAUCAGAUCUGAGAAAGUCUCCAAUAUUCUAAUAAGUUAUUUGUCAUUCAUCAUUGUCAGAAAGAAGAAUCAUCCACCGCAUUCAAUAUUGGGAGAAUCAUUCUCCUUAUUUACAUUUAGUGUCGUUUAUUGUUGUUAAUGCUUGUUAUUCUCAUCCCAUUAUUGACCUUGAACAUUUAAUACAUGUUA
rnacentral:lncRNA from 1 species